rnacentral:lncRNA from 1 species
UUUUUUUUUUUUUUUUUUUUUUUUUUGCAUUUUUAAUAGUUGGUGAUUGAGGUGAGGAGGAAGAGGAGGAGCUAUUGGUAGUUGAAGACCAGAUUAGAUGCCUAAGGGAGAAAGUGAAAAAAAUUACAACUAAUUUAUGUGAACUAAAAUGAAAUGACUGUUUCAAAUGGCAGCAAAAUUCAAGCUACAACUAUUAUAGCAAAAUUCAUGCAAUAAGUUACUGUUAAUUCCUUGUAUAACGCUUCUAUAUAUAGUAGAUAUGAGCAUCAAGGAGUCGAAAAACACAUCACAUGAACAGGCAAGAAGAUGACGAGCAGUUUCAAGAAAAACCUUUUCUGUGUAAUUGUCCCUUUACUUUGCCUUGUUCAACCUAUACAAGUGCAUGCUAAACAAGAAUAUACGACUAUCAUAGCUAAUGGUCUUCCCAGUGGUUCUGCUUUGUUGACAACUCAUUGUCAAUCUAAAGAUGACAACAUUGGAUACCAUACCCUAAAUCCAAAUCAAUCUUUCAGUUGGAAGUUUGGCAUGAACUUUUUUGCAACCACUAGAUUUGAUAGGGUGUUAAUUGUUAGCAAUUUUAUUGUUAAUUUUCCUUUUUAUCCUUGCCAAAUAUUAUUUUAAUUAUUAAUAUUUACUUAUAUUUGGUAUUGGACCCAAUUUCAGGGAUUGAAGCAGAAAACUACAAAAAAGGAGGGACUUUUGGAGAUAAUUGAGACUUCAAAUAAGCCACAGACUUGGCCCACAUGGUGAUAUACGCGGACUGCAUUUCUUCUGCUAAUUGGGAGUGUCUUGAGUACUUAAGAGUCCUAAGAGCAAUAAAAGACGAAAAAAGAGGAGGAGACAUCAAGAGGCCUUGCCUUUUGUACUUUGAUUUGGAAUCUGCGGCGGGGACCACAGAAAAGCAUUAGUCAUUGGACUUUGGAAGGAAAGAAACGUAGGAAGCUUUGAGAGUUGUUUUUGUUUCUUAUUUGUGGGGACCACUGGAUGGAUAGCUUGGGUCAUCUUCCUUUUGGCUAUAAAAAGACAAUUGUAAGAAAGGCUACGGAGACAGUUUUUAGCAUAGUUUUAGUUUUCUUUUCUUAGCUCUUUGGCAUGGUUGUUCUCCAUUAAUGGAGGACUAACCUCUUAAUUCUAGUCAAGGGGACAACUGAAGACUUGGUUCAACAAUUACUGUGAGAUCUAAUUUAUUUUAAUUGCUUCCUUAAUUUAUUGGUAUUUAUAUGUUUCCUGCUUUUAAUUGCUAUAGCUCGUGUGAGUGAUUGAAUAGAUGCGCAAUAUUUAAUUAUUCACAUAGGCUAUUUUGCUAAAUAGGGAUAAUUGAAUCCGUAAUUGUUCGUUAUCUUUAUCUCAGUAGCAACUGGCGUAAUUGGGUUUAUGUCAGGGGAACAUACGAUCUAACUUAAACAAACCCUCGUAGCGUGUUUGUUAGUUAGGAUUGGGUCUUUCUAAUUAUUAAUGCAAUCUAGAAAUUAAACCCUACGGUCGUACCUAGGGUUGUUUUUGGGUUAGAGAAAUAGUUAACGGUCGUACCUUAACUAUCGAGAAAGUAAGGAAAGGUUGGUUGUUUAUCGCGUGCAGGGCAACUAUAACUAAUCUAUUAAUAAAUUUGGAAUUAUCUGUGAAUCAAUGAUCAGUGCCUGAACCAUUUCUGAAGUGUACCCUUGGCUAGAGUUUUCCCUUAAUUAUUUCUUUUACUUAAUUAUUUUCUGCAGUUAAUUUAUUUAGUUAGCAUUUAAUCCAAAACCCCCCAUAUCUUGAACUCUAGAAGAAACGAAUUAUCCCCAGUCCCUGUGGAUUCGACCCUACUUACCGCUAUAUACAAAAUCUGUAUUUUUCUUGAGUAGGUUUUUAUUAUUGUACAGGUUCGGCACCUGUCAAGAUUCUAUUGUAGCUUUACAUGGGGACAAAAAGUUAGAUCCUUUGAUGUCUUCAAUGCAAAUUUGGCAAAUAGGUAUUGCGGUUCAAGCAUUGAGGUUGAAAACAUAUGCUACUGGUUGGUGAAAGAAGAUGGUUUCUACCUUUCUGCUAGAGAUAAUCCACAACCAAGUGAUUUGCAUCUGAUCAAUAAGUGGUGAAAUGAUUGUAUUUUAUAUCAUCUCAUUAUACAAUAAUAACCAAGAUUAUUCAUAUUAAAAUUUUUGUGUAGUUUAUUCUUCAUUCAAAUUCAUUUUCAAAUUUAUUUUUAGUUUUUUUAUGAUGAUCACUAAAGAAAAGAAAAUAGGACAAGAUAAUGUAAAAAUAUGAAAUAUAAGUUACGAUCAUCACACUAUUGUCAACUGUUCGCCGCUAAAUUUAGGUAAUAAUAAUUUUAAAAGGUUACUUUAAGAUAUCCAUAUAAAGCUUUGUAUUGAUGUCACCUCUGAUUACAAGUUUUGUUGCCCCAGAUAUUGGUAACACCAAAUAUCGAUAUUAACAUAUACCAAACUUUGCCUUUUUUAGUUCUUGAUAAACAAAUCAAAUUAUUUUUUAGUGAAAUUAUUUUUCCUCCAACUGAAUUUUUCGGAUAAAGUCAUUUGAUCUUAUGUGGCACAACUAAAAGAACAAUAUAACCCGCAUUUUAAUGAUCAUUCACAUUGCACUUGAUGCGUUUUUCUCAUUUCAUUUUAAUUUUUGUAAUUUCUUUUUCAUCAAGAAACAAGUUGCAAACUGUCCAAGAACAUUGUUGGUUUGCACUAUAUGUAGACGUUGUUUAAAUUUUUGUAUCAUAGUUGUUGCAUAAACAUAUAAUAGAAUUAAAAUUCUCAUCUUCUUUUAGAAGUUUUUGAAAUAUAAACCGUUUAUUAUUAUUCAAUUGUAAAUACUAAUCUUCAGGCUAAAGGAUAGUCUUGUGCCAGAAUGCGGUAUUUCUUGGUGAUUCUUUUAGAUGAUUUAGAAUGCAUAUAUCAUGUACAUAAUUUUGAUUUACAUUUCGUUUCAUUUUGAAACUCUAAAAGUAACUAUUGAAAACCUAAGGCCCUUCUAAUCUCGUCAAGGGCCACCCUAGUUAAGUUAUGUCUAGUUUUAUCACCCAAUAUGGGUGAACUUAUACAGUUUUGUUACACUAUUAUACCAAAUUUGUGUGAAUUUAUACUAGAUAAUGCAAAAAUUAUGUCAACAGGACAAAAUUCACCUGUAGAGGCUUCAGGUCUAUCAAUGCACGACUUUCUCCACAGAUAAUGCACCAAAAACUACCUCAAGGCACCCACGUUAAUGAAUCAUAUUCAAUUUCUAUCAUCUUUCGUAUAGGACUUUAUCUAUUAACAUGUUUAUCUUCUUACAUGACUUUGUCUAUAUCUACAUCCAACUCACAUUUUUACAUACUAUAUUGUCUAUUGAAAUGUUCCACCACUAAAUCUACAAAGGAACGGAAAAUAUUUUGAACAGAUAUUCUUUUUUUUAUAACAACUUUUACCAAAUAUAAGAUUAGGGAUGAUAACAGGAGUGGUUGCCCGCUGGUGCCCAUCUCAGGGGGGUGGAAUUUUUCUCCCCCCUUAUCAAAUGUAGCGAGGGGAGGGAGAAAAAUUACCCCCUCCCCACUACCACCCCCGUUAAUAUAUAUGUAUGUUUUUAUAUGUAUAAUAUGAAAUAAAUGCUAUGUUAUUGUUAUUAUAGAAAUAUAUUCUAUGAAAUAAAAAUAUGUUAUGUUGUUAUGAUAAAAUGAUGUAAUUUUUUGCUAAAAUUUCAAAAGAAUGAUUAAUAAAACUUUUAUUAGAUCUAUAUAAAUUAAAAAGUUAAAUCAAAUAACAAAUAAUAAUGAUAGUGGGGUAGGAUGGAUGCACCCAUGGUGAUAGUGUAGGGCAGGGCGGGUAUAGGGGUUAAGGGAGCAGGGGACGGGGACAGAAGAGUUUUAGUAGAAUGGGACUCUCCCCUACUCCAAGACUGCCUCGUUGCUAUCUCUAUAUUAGAUAGAUGAAGAAGAUGAUUUCGGUGAAAAAAUCAAUCCACUUUUUUGUAUUUAGUUGGUUUGAUACUUAUGGUCUCUACUACUUUCUUCUGAUUGAUUUAUGAGUCGAUUUAGUAUGACUCAAGCGAGUUUCACUAAUUUUUUAAGUUUUUUGAACCAACUCGAGCAAUAUCAAUCAAAUUUGGACAAGUUUCUAAUGUGAUGAAUGAAUUACAUCAUUCGGUUUGGCUUCAUAUUGAUAGGACCUGAUCCGAUUGUAAAUUGUUUGAGUUAACUCAGACUCGGACGAUUUGACAAACUAUGAAUGGAGUGGGAUAGGCAGUAGAGAAAGGAGUGUGGUUUGAGGAGGAAAGAUGAUAGAAUUGGAAAAUUUGUGUAUCCCUUUAUUCCAAUUAGGGUAAAGUUAUCAAAUAAAUCUAUUUGGAACAAUCUAGCACAAGUGCAUACGGUAAGGGGAUGGAUUGCAAUAAUCUUUAAUGUUAGGCAAGUCGCAAUUAAGCAUAGUUUAGGGUGCAUUUUGCAACUAACCCAAAUAAUUAUAUCAAAAUGGAAUUAAAAUCGAUUCAUUUAACCAAAUUGUUUGCUUGUCCUUACUUGCAAAAUUAUAUUGCCAGUGUGAUUAAGAGAUAAAGAUAUGCAACUUGAACAGCUACCUGAAUUUGAGUAGAUUUUUAUUUGAAUAUCUACUAUAUUAGUAUGGAAUAGAUAGAUUUUUGAAGAAGAAUUUAUACCUUAACAAUUACUUUCCUUUGAUGCUGUAUAUAUGGAGCAAUAUCCUGUAAUAUACCAAAUUUGUAUGAAUUUAUACUAGAUAAUGCAAAAAUUACGUCAAUCGGAUAAAAUUCACCUAUAGAGGCUUCAGAUCCAUCAAUGCACGGCUUUCUCCACAGAUACUGCACCAAAAACUACCUCAAGGCACCCACGUUAAUGAAUCAUAUUCAAAUUCUAUUAUCUUUCGUAGAAGACUUUAUCUACUAACAUAUUUAUCUUCUUACAUGACUUUGUCUAUCUACAUCCCACUCACAUUUUUACUUACUACUAUCUAUUGAAUUGUUCCACCGCUAAAUCUACAAAGGAACGAGAAAUAUUUCAAUUAGAUAUUAUUUUUUCUAUUAGUUAUAAAUGCUUGUAUGUGCCUAAAUCACUAGUCUAAAUAACAAACACCCAUAAAGCAAUUUGAAGAUGGGUGCUUGGACAUUGGAGAGGAUUCAGUGAUAGGACGAUCAAGGACAGUAGGCUAGGGCUGAUAUAGAAAAUAAGACGAGACAAAUGAAGUUGUGAUUAGGGGUGGUAUCUUAACAAAUGAGUGCUCAAUCGAGGGUGGCAAGAAAAGGGAAUUCUAGAAAGUGCAUGGGAUGGAUUUCAAGCUGCUCAAUUCGAUAGGGAAAGAAUUAUUGGGUGCCGUGGACUAGGUCGGGCGUUCAAGCUCCACCUAGUGGAUUAUAAAGAAGCAUUGUGCUUUUUUUGUAAAAAAAAAAAAUUCAGAGAGUGCAAUAAUGCACUUGCUGAUUUGGCAAUUCACCUUUCAACCAUCAUAGAAGUUUAGUUGAGUUCCCCCUCUUCAUAGGAUAGUAGUAAUAUAGAUUAUUGUUGUUAAACAAAAAAAAAUGUUUUUGAUGGGGUGAGGGACAAUGUAUUUGGUAUUGGAAAUAGUUGUGCAAAGAAAGUAAAAUGGGCAAAAGGCAAUACACAUUGGUAAUGCAGUUUUGUAAAGGGGUGGAAAAGAAGUCAAAAGUUGGGAUGGUGCGGGCAAAGAAAGAAAGAAACUGGGGAGAGGAAAGAAAGGAGAUACAGAAAAUUUUGGUAUCUCUUGACAUCAAUUAGAGAAAAGUUAUCCAAUACAUCCAACUGGGCAAUGUAUAAAAAAUUCGCAUUCUUAAUUAUUGGGCCACAAAUUCAUAUUCUUAGGUGGUAGUUGAUUGCAACCAUUUCAUACCAUGGAGCAAGGCACGCGUGACUUAGUAGUACAUUUUGCGAUCAAAGUAAGUUUGUCUAUCAUCAAAAAUCAACUUCAAUUUGUUUAACGAAAACAAAAGGACACAAUGAUAUAAGUUUAAAGUAAUUAUUGAUUGUUUCCUCUUUUUCAGUUGGUCCUUUGAUUUCUCUAUCUUGGUAUUAAUAUCUUGCUAAUUCUAGCCAUGCAAACAUACAAUUUUUUGUUAGUACGUUAAAGAGAUAUAAUAUCAAAUAUCCGACUAGUUUUGUAAUAUGAUAGUUAUUAAUAGGUUCCGUGAUCGACCCCUCGUGUGCUACAUUGUUGUGUAUCCUUAGAAUAAAAUUCUAUACGGCUUUAAGGGAUUAGUCUAGCCGAAAGCUAGGAUACUCCUAAAUAAAAAAAAAAAUCUCGAAUAUCUAUCAUAUUGAUUUGGAAGUGACUAGGCUUUCACUUAACUAGUAUGUCUACUUGGGAUAAGGUAGAUGUACCAUUCAUGUACUUAGGUGUUCUUACCUUUGACUUGACUUUCUGAAUUUUCUCUGAAACUUCAUAUCGGUUACAUGGUUUGCUGUCAUCAAUAUCGUACUUAAAGAACUAAUAUAAUGAAAGUAAUUACUAAUCUCUAACAUUUUCUAAAAUUUGAGAAGGGACCAUGUUUUACAAUUAGUAUAGUACAUAAAAUUUAGAGAAUCAUUUGUGAUUCAGUAAUCACUUUCGAAUUAAUGCCUAUUGUUUCUCUACAUGACUACUAUAUAAACAUAAAGCAUCAAAACUUAAAAAAAAAAAAAAAAACACGUUCCAAUAACAAGCAAGAUGGCUAACAGUUAAAAAGCAAACUUUUUUCUCAUUAUUUGUCAUGUCAUUUUGCCUUCUUCAAACCAUGCAAGCGCAUGCAACUUUUGAAAAACAGUGAAUCGUUAUAGCUGAUGGUCAUCUAGUGGUUCAAUCUCCGGUGACAAUCCAUUGUCAGUCCAAAGAUAAUGACUCUGGCUGCUUUGAUUUUUAGGAGAGGAAGAGAGAGAAAAGAGGAGGAAAAAAAAGGAUGGAAAUGUUAAGUCGAUGAAAGUGCCUAUCGACGACGACAAUGGCGGCCAGUUGUGAUCGGAGCUGGAGCGGUGAAAGAGCUCAAAGGAAGGGAAAAAAGAAAAAGAAAAGGAAAAGAAAAAUAGAAAAUUUUGUCAAUUUCUCGAGAAAAGUUUUUCUACGAAUUCAUAGUUAGUUAUAGUAUAAUUUUAUCUAAAUAUUCACAAAACUGGCGACGUAAAAUUAGUUAAGCGACUAAAGUUUGGUAAAAAUAAAGAUGGAGGACCAAAACAGUUGUAGUGAAAGAGUUGGAGGAUCUCACUGGUAAUUUAUCUUCACUUUUUCGUUAUUUAACAAAAAAAAAAAAAAAAAAGACCCAGUCACUCGUAUAAAUGUCGCAAACGCUCAAACCCUGCUUCAAGAUCAAGCCCUGACGUUGCUUCAGAAUAAGCAAGCAGAGAACACGCAGAAAAAAUAUGUACGGACGGCCACCGCACUUCCGCCACGGUGGCGGUGGUGCGCCGCCACCUCUGCCGCAUCCACAGCAACCACCGUUCCAGCAGCCGCCACCAGGACAACAAUUUCCUUUCCAUAACUACCUCCAAAAUCCUAACAAUCUCCUUUACCAAAGUCCCAACCUACUGUUUUUUAAUAAUCUCCUCAACAACAUCAAUAACGUUCCAAUUCAGCCACAAGACCCUAACUUUCACUUCCAAAAUGUUAACUUCCAAUCGCAAAAUCCCAACGCUCAACUCCCUCGGUUUCCGCAGCCUCAUCCACAGCGGCCUAAGGAGUCAAAGCCGCAGCCACAAGCGCAAGCUAAGGCUAUGCCCAUGAAGGUGAACAUUAACGAAGUUCUGGAGAGGUUAGAUAGAGCGGUAAUAAAAGCUCGCCAUGAUAUUUUAGCUUCUGGCGGUUAUGUUUCAGCUUGGAAGGUGUCGCAGGACGCUUUGUUAGCGUUGAAAGCGGAAUCGUGGGAGUCUUUAGGAUUUCAGAUGCAGCAAGUCCCCUCCCUCCAUCGCCUUAUGAGCAUUGAAGCGAAGGUAUGAUUUGAUAUAUUUGAUUUAAUACAUCACCUGAAUUUUUUUUGGAAAUUUAUUCCUCGUGUAUAUUUCAUUUGUAUCAGUUUUUGAUCAUGUGGAUAGUAGUAUGAUGGAAUAUGAUGGCAAAGUUUAGCAAUUCAUUGGUAAAGUAUCGAUUUAAUAAUAAUGGGGGAGAAUUAAUAAGUGAGAUGAAUAUCUUGUGAUGGAACAGUGCUCAAAAUCUAUGAUACUCUAACAUGACAAAUUAAUUACUCAAUAAAAUAGUGAAAUGGAGCCCAGAGACAACUGAAAUUUCAUGGAGUAAUCAAAAUCUGUUACAAUCGCCAAUACAGAAAUCAGAAGGGAUGAAUUAAGAUGAGAAAAUUUUUAAGAUGAAGAAACUUGGGGAUGGGGAAAACUCAGCUAUUUGAGACGAAACCUCUGCAAAAUUACAUGACCUCUGGGAAAUGAACUACUACUUUUAUAGCUACUCCUAACACAAUUCUGUAUGCGCUAUCUACUGCUGCCAUGUGUCCCAUCCACUUUCUUCUUUUCUUCUGACUAGAGCUCCUUCACGUGUAUGGAACUGCACCCUGCCACUGCCACUGCUUCCUUUCCAUGCCUUUUUCUGACUGCACACCAAAACCCCAAAUUAAUUCAUCAUAACCAGCUGCUUCAUGACAUAUUUUUGGUUUUUGUUGCUUGCACAUAGUGCAUUAGUUUGCAAAAUUAAGUAGGAAACUUCACGAGAUAAAUAAAUCGGAGUUUGGUUUGUGAAAUAUGAAUUUUCAACUUGGAAAUUUGACUGUGCAAAUAAAUAGUACGAGAUAAAUAAUCUGAGUUUGAUUUGUGAAAUAUGAAUUUUCCACUUGCAAAUUAAUUGUAGACAUUGUAGGUCUAGAAAGUAUAUUUAACUGGACAAUUUUUACAGAGAGAAUCAGGGCCACACCUGGAUUCGUCAGUUGUGAAUAUAAGGCUUAUUUGAUAUGCAUUGUUUAUUUGAAGAACCCUUUGCUCAGGCUUUUCUAUGUUUACUAGUAUCUAAUGCAACAAAAAUUUUUUGAUGCCUGCACCAUAUCAUGGUAGAUAAUUUAUGAUUCUGUGGCAUAACUAUUAGUAUGCUCGUGUAUAUUGAUUGACACUGGUUGAAGAAUAGUAGGUAGAUAUUCUCUGAGAAAUAGUAAGUGUCAAAUGGGCUAUUUUCAAGAAUGCAUAUUAGGUUCUUGUGACUUGUAAGAGAUAUGCUAUGUUAAAUUUCCUUUUUUCUUUCUUGCUUUUAAUGUUGCUGAUCCAUCUCUCACAUACACAGAUAAACUCAUUCAUUCAUUGCUAUGUUGGGGUUAGAAAAGUUACUACUUUGUAUGAUUUGGAAUUGGCAAUUUGCAAGAACGAAGGGGUUGGCCUGUUUGAGGAGCUGGAAUUGGGUCCUUUGGUAAGACACCCACUUGUCGUUCAUUAUUUUUCUGUCAUUCCUGAUGUCAAGGAAGUUUUCAGAAUAACGAGUGAAGAUAUAAUAUCUUACCUUCAUGAGUAUUUGAAAACUCAUCAAGGUAAAGAAGUAAAAGUUGAAGCGUUAUUGGAUUUCAUUGCUGAGAAGCAAUCUAAGACGAGCAGGGAAAAGCUUAAUGUGCGUAUUCAGAGCUUGGGGUAUGUAGAUGAAUGCUGCUUUCAAAUAAUCUCAAUUCAGAUAUAUCCAUAGUACAACUAGUAAUUUGUUUAAAUAUAUGCAUGAAAGCUCAUAGAGGUGAGUUGUGCCCAGAUUGAUAAUAUUUUUUAUUGCUUAACGUGAUUUAUAAGCUAUAGUUUUUAGUUGUGAAAGUAGACCAUUUUCUUUUCGUUGCAUGUGGUUUAGCAGUUAAGAAUGUAUUUUCUGUUUCAUCGUUUUCAUCCAUUUUGCUGCUAUGCAAUAGGAGCAUGUAAUCAGUUGCAGAAUGUCAACAUGCUGGUGCACUUGUAAUGAAAGAGGAAAUGUGGUAUUUUUAUGGAUGUGUUAGAUAGAAACCUUUCAACUGCCCCUUUUAAUCUAAGAUAAGUUUUGGGACAUGUUGCUCAGCUUUAUUUAUUUAUUAGCUUUGUGGGAUAGCUUAAAAUAACUUCUUUGAGGGAAAAAUCCUAAUUUGACAGCCAAUGCAGUGUCAAUGUAUUUAUAAACCAUAUUUUUUUGGUAGAAAUUUAUAAACCAUAUGAUAUAGGUUGAAUAUUAAAUUUCAAUGUCCUCUUGUAAGAGAAGCUGGUAGAAAUUUAUAAACCAAUGCAGUAUCAAUGUCUUUGACAGCCAAUGCAGGAUCAAUGUAUUUAUAAACCAUAUUUUUUUGGGUAGAAAUUUAUAAACCAUAUGAUAUAGGUUGAAUAUUAAAUUUCAAUAUGUUCUCUUGUAAGAGAAGCUGGUAGAAUCAUUUUGUACCCCUAGAAUUCAUCUUAAUGUUGUUAGAAUAAUGCAAAGAAUCUGAUAAUUUAAGGAGUUUGUUACCCUUAAGAUAGCCAGAACUUUGCACUCAGUGGCUUCCCCUUUCUUUCUUUUUUGUUUUAAAUUUUUUUUGGGGGUAGUUGGUAGGGGCAAUGGAUGAAGGAAGGGGAAGAAAGGGAGGCAGGGAUGAGAAAAAAAAAUGUCGUUCCUGGCCUAUCAGGUAAAUAAGAUCUUUAGCCUACAGGGAAAAGGUUAGGGAUGAAUAUUCUGUUUUCUUUAUAUUUCUUGCUCAUGAUGCUGCUUGUUGGAUUGCCUGUUCGGUAUCUCAACAAAACCUUGUGUGGUGAAUUGCAGCCAGUUGAUCUUUUAUGACUUCAGAAUACAAAAAGUGGUUGAAUAAUGUAUCAAGUGUCAUUUUUGGCCUGAGGAACUAUAACCAUAUGUGUGGAUAUCUGAAAAACAUGCGUCUUAGGUUUCAUUAGUUGAAUUAUGCAUAUUUGAGAAGCGGCUGAAAAAUACUAUUUAUGAGAUCUCUGAGUUAGAAAACCAUCAAUUACCUUCUUAGUUGAGCAAUUGGAAGGUUGCACUAUACCUGGUUCCUUUAUGAAAAUUUAAAUUUCUUCAUUGGGAUAAAAUUUUACAUGCUCACUGCCAUAAUAAAGGCAAAGCUUAGGUUUUGUCAGUUUGUGGAAGUAUUAAUCUUUAUAUUUUUUGACAAAUGAAUGAAUCCUUGUUUUUUCUUUUUUGAGAAAUGAAUGAAAAGGAAGAAUGGAUUUAUCAUAUGUUUCUAUACCUUUUUGUAAAUCAUACAUUUGAUUUUGUAGGUUUACUCUUUGAAAUGUUAUCAGGUGCAAUUUAUUCAUUUCUGUAUUAGUAUGGGGCAUAUAGCUCAAAACUGGUGUUUGAACAUUAUUAAUUUAUAAUGGCACUGAAAUUCAUCCUUUUAUCUUUUCUCCUUCAAGCUGCCCAGAUGCGGCUCCAACUAAAACAAUUGAAUUUUUCUAACAGGUGGCACAUAACUCUUAUCCGGAAAGCAGUACAAUCAGAAAAUGCCACACUGAAGGAACAUGUUGAUGAGUUGAGAAAUAAAUAUGGUAUAAGGAUCAGGAAGCGUCCACUUUUGUCUUCAAAAAAAGGGGUGCUUGAUGACCGUUUCAAUGAAAUUUCACAGCGCAUGAAGUCAAUUUCCUCAAUGGAGAAAAUUUUUUGUGGAAAACAUGUAAGGUUUUCAUCUUCAAGUUCAGAUAAUGACAGUACAGAUGAUGACGAGGAGGACAACGAGGACAAAAAUGACAAUUAUACUGAAUUUGAAGACAACCUGCACUUGAAGAAUGUGAAGAGUGAUGCCAACUUCACAUCUCCAACGCUCGAAAAUUCAGAACGAGUUAGUAGGUGUCCUUAUCCUUCAGCAUCUGAAGAAAUGGCACGGCUUGGGUUAAAACCUGAUUUGGAAUGUUCUAUUGGGGAUGACACUGAGGAUGAAACAAAUAGCAUGAAGAAUGUGCCGCUAACUAGAAAGAGAAAAUUCAGCAAAGGUAGCAGCAGUACUUUGUUACCUAGGAAAUUAACUAAAAGAGAGAAGGACAAGUCCAAUUUUCAUACAGGAGAUGAGAGAAAGAAAUCCGGCAGCAAGGACACAAGUGAUUCUUCUCUUGUCAAUGACUCUACAAGAAUGUUCAUUACAACAUGGAAGGAGACAUGCCAGAAUAACAGUCCAGAUGAGGUAUUUUUUUCCCCUGAUGCUGUACUGUUAGUCCUGUCAAUCAGAUGAAUCUUUUGAGGCAUGUCCUUUUGCUCUUCAAUCAUAGUUUCCUGUGUUGGAAUUCCAAGUCUAGUGAUGAUUUCUUUGUACUGUAUUUUUCCUGAUUUUGUAAUACUGCACAGAAGUUGGAGAAUUCCUGUAAAAACACUUCCCUGAGCUGUUUAAAUAGGUGAUAGCCAUUAGAGUGAUGAGACUGACUUUUUGUAUCCAAUGACUGAGGGCCCAUUUCAGGUUCCGGUGCUUUUGGUUAAAAAGCACUUUUGGGUGUUAAAAAGUACUUUUGAGGCGUUUGGUGAACAUCAUCCCAUAAAAUUAGGAGUGGACCUUUUGAUGUUAAAAGCACUUUUAGCAAAAGCUCAAAUUUUGGUGCUUUUAGAAUAGCAUUUGUGUUUUAAAAAAUAAAACAUUAAAUUUAAUCAUUUAUCCUAUAUUAUGAACUAAAUAAAGAGAUAAAUGCAUUUAAAAUUUUUCAAAUUACACGUUAUCCAAUACAAUAAGUAAUUAUUGAACUAUGUAUUCAAACAAUAUACUUAAAAGCACUUAAGCACUUACUAAGCACUUUUAUUAAAAGCUCUAUUAGGUGAAGUACUUUUUGAUAAGUUACUGCAACCCCAAAUGGGCCUCGAGUCUGAAAUGGUGGAUGUUGGAAGGUAUUGCUUCACGAUGAUAAGACAUGCUUACGUGUUUAGAAUCUGAUUGUUAAUCCUUGAGUCCUGUGAGCUUGUGCAUUUACAGACCUCAAUACAUGAAUUUGCAGUGAUGUCCUGGUUUUAGAAUUGAAUACCGGUGGGGCUUUUGAAUAUUACCCCAUUUGGCACUUCUUUGCUCUUUGAUUUUCAGAGUUGAAACAAUUUUGUCAUUGAAACCUUCUAAUGCUGAGUUUUACAUGUAUAUGUUGCAUGGCCCCUAAUUUCUUCUGUGUGAGAAGAUUUAUUCUAUUGUAGAAAGAUUAAAACUUUGCUUCGUGUGUUACAGCUCUGAUUUUGAUGAGUGGGUAGGAAAGCAACAUGAGAACAGGGAUAUAUCUGUCUAUAUGCUUGUUGUUAUGUGUGUAUCUUGACAAUUGUGACACUUUAUUUGAAGUCUAUUUGUUUGAUUUCUACUUUUUUAAUUGCUGAAUUCUGCUCAUUCCUUUUUGCACUUGUAGGUUCUAGAUAGGAUGCUGCACAUGUACAGCUCAAGGAAGAAGAAGAAGAUGCUGACAGCAUUGUUUUCUUCAUAUCCAUUUGCUGGAUUACUUGAUGUUGCUGUACGUUAUUCACUUGAACUUUUCUUGAUCAUAAUUUUCUACUUGCUUUAUUUACGUAGGAGGAAACUGAUAUGUUGUUUGCAUGUGUUCUAAUUCCUCUAAUUUAGCUCUAGGUCAACAGGCUAUUUAUUGAUAUUCAGAGGACUAGUGUAAGGGAAUAGCUUUGAUUCCGUUGGGAUUUGUCUUUCCUUCUUAAUCAACUUUCAUUUUCCGCCUACAAGAUGUUCUAUCUUUGAGCCAUGACUAAGUUUUCUUGAUAUUCCACUUUGCAAAAAACAAAUGUACUGGCGAUGCUAUUUCUUAUAUAAUUAGCUCUCUGUGACAUCUUUGAAAAGACAUAUCGUGUUUUUCCUUUAUUUCAAUGAGUUGAUCUUGAGUAACUUAGCUUUAUCUUGAAUUAUAUGCAUCGAAGGGGAUUUUAACUUCUUUCUAAAGCUUGUAGGAUUGAACUUUUGAACUCAAAUCACUUAUUUCAUACUACAUAUGUUGGCUGGAGCUGUUUUUUUGUGUCAUUUGUCAUCCUUUUCUGCUCUAUUGAUUAACUUCUACCAAUGAUGUUUCAUCUGGUUUAUUAUUUGUUUUCUUCCAAAAGGUGAAGAAUAUUCUUUUACAGCUAUCCAACUGAUGGGCAUCCUUUUUUUUUUUUGUCUUUCCCCUGAUGUAUAUAACUCCAAAUGCACAAGAGUGAAAGAGGUGGAUUGGUUUUUGGGAUUGGGGUUUGGUAGGAGUUGCUGACUUAUGGAUUGGUUUAUUGAUGCAUUUUUCUUGCAUGCUUUUUAUGGGAUUUUCACAGGUCAAAUCUAUCAAAUGUGGUAUGUGGGAUAGUAUAUAUGAUACUUUCCAAACUCUUGGUCAUCAAGGAGCAUUGAACAGUGUUUCUGAGAAACAAGUUGAUUGUAUAAGCAUAGAAGUUGAAUCAGAUGAAGAGGAUGCCCCAAUUUCUGCUGGAAAAUCUUCCAAGCAUGAAUGUGGUGAGUUGUGUCUGCUGUGAGAUAUAAGCUGGCUUUCUGUUUCUUUUUCUUUGCUGCCCUUUGUAUGUACCUUAUUUGUCCUUUAUUCGGCUGCUGGCUGGCAACUGGAAUAUUGUAAAAUUUUAAAGGGAGAUUUGAUGAAUUUUGUGAAAGAUGUCUAUAUAAAAUCUUUGUAUUCUCUAAACCAACCAAUACAUUGUCAGGAUGUAAAUUUGAAGAACCUCACUUGGAAAAUGUUUUCGAUGGCAAAAGCCAUUUUCCUAUUAUUUCCUUCUAAAAUUUUAGUCUCAUGAUUUAUAUUGCUAACACAUUAUGCACUGACUCUUAUUUACUAUGGUUUCAUGGUAUUAGGCAAGAAACUUACUUAAUUGUGGAAUCCAGAUAUCCUAGAAUUAUGGGCUGAAUGAUUUGGGGGUGGGGGGGGGGGCGAGAGAGAGGAACCAAUUUCUGUGGUUGUCUGGAAAAUGCUUAAGCUCUUGAAGUAAUUUGUAUAAGAAAACAAAAUUCUAGGGAAUUUUCUAGUGUUUGGUUACAAGAAUUUGCCGAUAUCUUCCUUACAUCUGAUAAAUGAAUCUUAUUGGAGAUUGGUUGCUUAAUGCUUUUAUUCUUUUGCCUAUCCUUCCCUUCUCUCCUUUCUACUUCUCUCUAAAUAUGUCAAAAAACCCUUGAUGGAGUUCAGCAAAUAGCUUUAGAUGGAGUGGAACUGAUUAGUCCUACGUAAUUAGGAAAUAAGAUGACAGAAAAAUACAGCAUAUAUAAGUCAGAAAACAUAACUCUAUCUGUUAAGUUUAACAAUACAUUAUUACAACUGUAUGUAGCAAACAAUCUUGGAUGCCAAAACUGCUUGGAAGUUAAAUCUAGGGGUGGCAAUUUUCGACACGACCUGAAAACACGACACAAACCUAACACGAAAUUAAUGGGUUUGGGUUGAGGUUUCGAGAAUUCGGGUCAGAAUCGGGUUGGACCCGAUGAACCCGAAAAGAAAACAGGUCGAUUUCGGGUCAACCCGUGGUGACCUGAUAUGACCCGUUUACGAAUUACAAAUAAUUUAAUAAACAUAAAAAUAAUUUUAUCUAACUAAACUAAGUUAUUCUUUUUUUCAAAGGCAUUAAUUACUUAAUUCUAAAUGAAUUUAUUUAAUUUGUGUGAAGUUGAAAUUAUUAUAUUUGGACAAAUAAUAUAUUAUAUUAUAUUUUACUUUUAUACUGUUUUAAUUUAUUUUAUAUUUUGUUUGGGAUAAAACACUUUUACGGUGUUUGAUUUAUUUUAGAUUUGGUUUGGAAUUAUUUAUUAAAAUUUUUAUUACUUGAUUGUGUAAUUAGUUUUGUGAAAAGUUGAUUUUAUUAGAAAUUACAGUGAUAAAUUAAUAAAUUAAAAUUAAGUUUCGGGUCAUUUCGGGUCGACCCGCCAACCCGUCAACCUGAAAUUUUCGGGUUCGGGGCAGCAUACCUGACCCGUCACGGGUUGGCGGGUCGGGUUCGGGUCAACAGAUUUUCUGACGGGUUGACCCGAACCCGACCCGCCAACCUGAUUUGGACCCGAAUUGCCACCCCUAGUUAAAUCAACUUCAGCCUUUGGGAACUAAGAAUCCUAGCUCAACUGAAAGAAAAAGUUGGAAUACAGCUAGAAAGUAGAGCUCAGGAAGACUAUUGCUUCCUGAAAUGGCUCAAUGGAGCCUCACAUCUAUCAGUAUGUGAUUUGUUUCGCUAUUUUUCCUUGUUUUUGCAGCACCUUCGAUAUAAUAUGAGAAUCUGGGUAAGAAAAAUGAAAUUGUUUAUGAAAGAUUCUGAGGACAAAUUAGUUUUGUUUUGAGGUUUAAUUACCAAGUUGGUAACUUAGUUAUGCUUUUCAUAAACAUCUGUUGCUACCCUCUAUCUCAUCUCUAUGCGUGCUUUACACUUUACAGGUGUAACAGUUGAUGAUAUCAUAAAGAAAAUUUCUUCAUAUUUUGAUUUUGAUGGUGAUGUCUCUGGCUAUGCAAAUCCUACUAAGCAAAUGAGACUUUCCAUUUUGAGGAAGCUUUACAAGUGUGAGUCUUGGCUAGUUGAACAGUUGUCUGUUGAAGAAUUUGAAUGUUUUGGUUUUGGAGAUUUUAUAAUGUUCUUGGAGAGAUAUUUGCACCUAUUACCUGAUGCAAUGCAGAAUUUUUUGAUUGGGCACAAGUACGAGAAUCUUCCUUUCGAGCCUUGCAUGCUUCAGCUUCAGUUGGAUGUACUAAUGUCACAAGCUUCAAACAGCAUUUGGAAAAAUGAAAAGGUAAGCAAGAUAAUGGUAUCGGGGCUGUUGAGUGCGCAAUUCCCUUCAGUCUGCUUCAAAUCAGUGGAAAAUGAUUCUUUACUAGAUCUUGGGGAUAUAUUACGGGAAAAUGAAGGUAAUGUUACUGCUAAAUGUGUCCUAUUUUCUGCGACUUUGUUAAAAAGGCAUAGUGUUGGAGGUUCCAGUGCUCUAAAUGAGAAUUUGCUGGAUUCUGGUGGAUCUCAGCUUGAUAUUGGGCAUAAUGCUGGAAGUCUUGGCUUGGUCACUACUAAGGAUGCCAUUGAAUUCUUACUUAGGGCUCCUAUGCUGACAGAUCUACAUAUCUGGACGCAUUGGGAUACCAACUAUGCUCCUUCACUUGGUUCUCUUGUGACGUGGUUGUUGAAGGAGGUUAAUGCUAGGGAAUUAUUGUGUUUAGUAAGCAAGGGUGGCAAAGUCAUGCGACUUGAUCAUACAGCUACUAUUGAGUCCUUUUUAGAUGUUUUACUUGAAGGAUCCUGCUUUGGAACAGCAGUGACACUGCUGUCUCUACUAGCUUUAUAUGGUGGUGAAGGAAAUGUUCCUUUAUCUCUCCUAAAGUGUCAUGCACAAAAAGCUUUUGAAGUAAUAAUCAACAAUUCGAUGGGAAAGGAAUUCCAUGGGGAUCAGGGUUGCCUUGUGCAGGGAGAGUCCAUGCCUGGACAUGAUGUUUUUGAACAAAGAACGUCAAGGAAUUUAGGUGACGAGUUAUACAGAGAUAGGAAUAGAGUUAAUGAAGUGGUUCAGGUUAUUUCAGGGCUUAUUCUGGAUUGUCUGGGUUACCUACCUGCUGAAUUCUGGAGUUUUGCUGCUACCGUGUUGUUUGCUGGAUUGCACAAUUUGGUCAAAGAUGCUCCUUCAGCCAUCCUCACUGCAUGCAAGAAUGUAGAGCAACGUGUCAUGCUUCAUGAAGUUGGAUUAUCACUUGGGAUAUUGGAAUGGAUUGAUGAUUAUCAUCAGUUUUCAUCCUCUGCAUUGACUAACUCAAUGUGCACCUUGGAUUCUUCCUGCUCAAAAGAUGCAAGUUAUGAAUGUAACAGGGGUACAUUAUUUCUGCGGAGCAGACUUAAGGAUUGUCUUCCUUCUUUAGGUGGUAUGGAAGUCCCUAUCAAAUCAGACCAGAAUAAUGAUCAUCAAGAAGUUAACUCCAUAGAGCAAGUUGCUGAUGUUUCUGUCCAGCUUUCACCUGAUGAUACUGCACCUAGAUUAUGCAAACUAGAUUGCAUUCACGAUCCACUUGGAGUUAUUGACUCCAUUAGGAGAGAUGAAUUUGGUCUAGAUCCGAGUCUUUCGACUACAGAAAGUAGAAUGUUAAUGAAGCAACAUGCUCGCUUAGGGAGGGCACUCCAUUGUCUUUCUCAUGAAUUGUAUUCCCAGGAUUCACAUUUUCUUCUGGAGCUGGUAAUUGAACCUUAUAUUGUUCCAUCCUUGUGCUUAUUAUGUGUUCACGCCUACUGUUUAUCAUGGCCUGUUUUCUCUGACUUCGCUGUUUUGUUCGAUGUUUUAGAAUUGAGAACACUAAGUGAUCUUUAUUGCAAACUUCUUCCUUCUUUUCUAGUUCAUAUCCCUAUAACUGUAAUUUAAAGGUAAGAUAGAAAAUUUGUAAAUUGAUAUUGCUUGCACGAUUGAGCCCUAUGUUACUUCCAACGCUUCAUUUGACCCCAAAGUACCUGUGUUGACACAACAUGACACUGGGGCUGGUAUAGAUAUGUUUCUGACAUGUUAGAAAUAUUUUGGACAUUGACUUCUGUGAGGUGUGAUGUAGAUGGAAGAGGAGGAGACAUGGGUGAGAAAAAUUCAUGGAUGUUGAAGACUUGUUGCACUGGAAUCCUUAUUGAGCUAUGGCUUGUUUGUUACUUUAGAAUUCUCCAAUCCUUGUUGAGCUAUGACUUGUAUGUUGGCUGUGUUAUAUAAUUUAUACAUUUACUAGAAAUUUUUCUGUACCCAUGUCCGAGUCUUUAGAAGUGUCACCGCAUCCUAAUUUUAGAUAGUUGAUGAAUUAGACACUUCGAUACAUACCCAAAUCCAACACCCAUACCGAGUCCAAUUAAAAUAGAUUCAGCCAAGUAUUCAGAGUGCUACAUUCUUCUUAUGGAAGAUAGCUGACAGCUGCUAAUUUAUGGGUCCUGUGAAAGAACCUUUUUUUUUUUUUUUUUUUUUGGAAAAAAGGGGUUUGGGGGGGAUGGGGUGGGAAUCCUGGGAAAGCCUAACCAGGCAGUUUGUGUUUACUUCUCUAUUUGUGUUUUGUACAAAUUACUUGAAUGGUUUGUGGUAUACUUGUCUUCUACUUGGAGAUUCUUAUUAUACAUGGAAAGAAUCACUGAGAUGAAAAUCUGAUAUGCUGUUUGGGGUUGUCCAUAGGUUAGAGUUUUUCAUCCUUUCCCCAUUGGAAAGUAUUUGUUGCCCAAGGGAUCUUUGAAUAACCGAGCCAUAUGUAUAGGCUUCUGGAUACUGAGCUUUGUAAUCUAGUGGAUAAUUAUGUAUGUUGAACUAAUGUCAAUUUAUAAUUUCUUUUGGAUUGAUAAAUUUGUCAUAUUUGUAAUGAUGAUUUUAUGUACAUUUCCUCUGAAAAAUUCCUUCAGGUCCAGAAUGCUGAUGAUAAUAUCUACCCAGAAAACGUGGAACCCUCUCUUACAUUCAUUGUUCAGGAAAAAGGCAUUGUAGUCCUUAAUAACGAGAUGGGGUUCUCUGCCGAAAACGUCCGAGCUCUUUGUGAUGUUGGAAAUUCAACAAAAAGGGGAUGCAGUACUGGUUAUAUUGGAAAGAAAGGCAUUGGCUUCAAAUCAGUGUUUCGGGUAUUGUGGAAAAACAUUUGCACUAUAUAUUUUAUGAUCUUCUAUUACAUUCUUUCAGACUGCAGAAAUAAGAACGAAAUUGGUAGCAUUCAACUUAUCAUUGGUUAGAUUGAUAAAUAGUAAAGAAUACUUUCAACCAAAUUUUGGGAGACAGAAUUUGACUUGUUAAUUUGUGGCACUGUGGUCGUCAAGCUGUUUGAUUAGUAAUUUUAUGUCAUUGAUUCUAUUAACUAAGUUGGGCAACUUUUAUGCAGGUCACUGAUGCUCCUGAAAUACAUUCCAAUGGUUUUCAUAUAAAGUUUGACAUAACUGAGGGCCAGAUUGGUUUUGUUUUGCCAACUGUAGUUCCUCCUUGUGAUAUUGAAUCAUAUAGCAGACUGUUAUCGACGAAUACUGAUGAUAUGGAUUGUAACUCUUGGAGAACUUGCAUUGUGCUUCCCUUCAAAGCAACUCUUUCUCAAGGUCUCGCAAUGAACAUCAUAUCAAUGUUUUCAGAUCUUCAUCCAUCUUUGUUGCUCUUUCUUCAUCGUCUUCAAUGCAUCAAAUUAAGGAACAUGCUUGAUAAUUCUUUAACUGUUAUGAGAAAAGAAGUGACUGGAGAUGGUAUUGUUAAGGUGUCCAUGGGGAAAGAGAAAAUGGUCUGGCUUGUAGCAUCUCAGAAAUUGCAAGCUGACAACAUUCGUCAUGAUGUCAAUGAAACAGAGAUCUCCAUAGCAUUUUCAUUGGAAGAAGCAAAUGAUGGGGAAUACAUUCCACAACUGCACCAACAGCCUGUUUUUUCAUUUCUUCCUCUGAGAACUUAUGGCUUAAAAUUUAUUGUUCAAGGUGAUUUUGUCUUGCCUUCAUCUAGGGAAGAAGUUGAUGGAGAUAGCCCUUGGAACCAGUGGUUACUGUCUGAGAUUCCUGAGUUGUUUGUUACGGCACAGAAAUCCUUUUGUGAUCUUUCAUGUUUCAGGGAGAAUGCUGCAAAAGCUGUUACAGCUUUUAUGAGCUUUGUUCCCUUUGUUGGAGAAGUGCAAGGAUUUUUUUCCAGUCUUCCUCGGUUGAUAAUUUCCAAAUUACGCAUGUCAAACUGCCUACUUCUGGAAGCUGAUAAGAUUGAGUGGGUUCCUCCGUGCAAAGUUUUGAGAAACUGGAAUGAACAAGCUCGUGUGCUUCUGCCUAAUUGGUUGCUUCACAAGCACCUUGGCCUUGGGUUCCUCAAGAAGGAUAUAAUUUUGUCAGAUUCACUGGCAAGGGCAUUGGGUAUAGAGGAGUAUGGGCCAAAAACUGUGUUUCACGUUAUGUCAUCUUUGUCUCGAUCUAAGAAUGGUCUAAAGGAUAUGGGCUUGGGAUGGUUAUCUUCCUGGAUAAAUGAAGUUUAUCUGAUGUCCCUCAAUUCUGGGACUGAAUCUGAUCUGAUUUUAAGUCUUCGAAAAGUUCCAUUUAUACCUCUUUCAGAUGGCAAAUAUUGCUUUGUUGACAGAGGUACAAUUUGGUUGCAUUGCGACACCAUUGGGGUUGGUAAUGAGUAUGAUUUCAAAGCGUUUCCAAAACUCUAUUCUAAACUUCGAAUUGUGAAUCCAGCACUCUUUUCUGCAGCAGUAGCUGCUGACAAAUCAUGCUUGGAUGCAUCUAUUGUAGAGAACGUCACUAGGCUGCUUAUCAAAGUUGGUGUCCAGCGAUUAUCUGCACAUGAAAUUGUGAAAAUGCACAUCCUACCAUCUAUCUCUGAUGAUAGAAAUAUUUCCAGGGAUAAGGAUUUGCUGACAGAUUACCUUGCGUUUAUACUGCUCCAUAUGCAAUCAAGUUGCCCAAGCUGUUGCCUUGAAAGGGAUUGGAUUAUGUCGCAUCUGCGGACUGAAGCUCUAGUUUUAACAAAUUAUGGCUAUAAACGACUUAAUGAAGUGCCAAUACAUUUUAGCAGACAAUUCAGAAAUCCAAUUGACAUGAAUAAGUUAAUUAAUGGUAUCGAUAUGAUAUGGCACGAGCUUGACAGCAUCUACCUGGAACAUCCAAUCACGAAAUCAGUUCCUGAUGGAAUAUUGAAGUGGAGAAAUUUUUUCCAGGAAUUAGGCAUCACGGACUUUGUUCAAAUAGUACAAGUUGAAAAACCUAUUGCAAAUGUAACCUUGACUUCCAUGGGGCCAACUGUAAAAGACUGGGAAUCUUGGGAGUUGGGUCAUCUGUUAUCACGAUUUUCUUCCAGAGGUGACCGUGAGAAGUGCAAGUACCUGCUGGAGAUUAUUGAUACACUAUGGGAUGAUUAUUUUAGUGACAAAGUCACUAGUUGCUGCAUGGUUACUUCUUGUGAAGCAGGCAAGCCUUUUGAGUCAUCAAUUAUUAGCAUGCUUCAAAAUGCUAAGUGGAUGGUCUCAAUUAUGGAUGAUGACCUUCACUAUCCUAGAGAUUUAUUCCUUGAUUGUGAAGCGGUGCGAUCUAUUAUUGGUGCCACUGCUCCAUAUGCUGUUCCAAAGGUUGUCUGAUUUCGAUAAUCACUUUUAUCUUCUUCCUCAUCCAUCUCCCUCACCCCCUUGGAAAGAAAAUUUCCAAGCAGUAUUGAUAAGUUGUUUUGCAUAUGCCACUUGUAUGUGAGUGGAUUAAAUUUGAAUCUGACAGUGAUGCUAAGAAUUCAGGUCUUAACAAACAAGAUUAUCAACGUUUAGUAAAAUAGUUGUAAAGUGAUAAUGUGAUAGUUGUCUACUCAGUGGGUACCAAAAGUUAUAUCUUCUUGUUUCAAUUUGACACAUUUGCGGAUGUUGCGAAAAAAGCAAAGGAAGGAGACACUGCUAUGGAUAUGUACUUUGGUUGUCCCAAAUUUAAUGGUUGAUUACUCUGCUUGGUGUAUUCUUUUGCCUUUUCUAUUUAGAUCUUGUCAUGUAAAUACAAAUCUACCUUUUGCUGGAUGAUUUUUCUUGGUUGCUGCAUGAUUUGCCUUCACGUGCAAGUUAGGGACCUUUCCUUGCAUUUUAAUGUUAUAAAUGUCUUUACUGCCGCAGAUUGUCCUUUUUGACUUGUUUGGGAUGCUGGACCUUUUUCUCAAGGAGUAGCAUUUUUAUUUUAGAAAAUGGUUAACAACCUGAAACCUAACCUAAGUACGAUUUCAUGGUAUUUUUCUUUCUUUCUUUUUUUUUUUUCGGAAAGCCUUGUGAAAUAAGCACAAUUUUGCUCAAGGAAUCAUUUUUACCAAAAAGAAAUUAAGGGGUCAUUCAUUUUGAACAGGGUGCUUUAGUCUGCAUAUAUUUUGAUUGGUAAUGCAGCAUUUUAGAAUUAGGAUAGUUCUGCGGGAAGUGGCACAUAAUAUCGAUAAAUAACCUCAUUUAUUUAUUUAUUUAUUUUUUGGUGCAGGUGAGAAGUCAAAAGCUGCUAGAUACCCUCCGUUUAAAAUCUCAAGUUAGAAUUGACGACAUAAUGUCACUUCUUAAAGUCUGGAGGACAGCAGCACCCUUCAAAACAAGGUAAAUCCAGCCCUUAUAUACUUCUUUCUUCCUGAAAUAGUAAGAGCGUUAUGAUUUGUGGGGGUCGAAUUACUGUUCCGUUGCCAGCCUAAUCGUUACGUGAAGGUAAUAUUCAGAUAUAGCUUGAGAUUUUAAUUUCUCCUUUUGUAAUAAAGUUCUGAAGUUCUGUAUCCUCUUGUGGUUAUUGUAAUGGAGUUUAAGGUGAUUCUGCAAAUCAAGAAGAGCGUUAUAUCUCUUAAUGUCGAGGAAUAUAGGAAAGGAUAAAAGGCAGAAAGAUAACUCAAAAAAAGUGGUUGAUUGGAAUUUUUCCUUGGAUAACAAAAGGUUAUUUUCGCUUUCUUCUAGUUGCACAUAUAAAUUCUUAACAAAUCUCUGGGAUUAUCCUAUUAGGUUAUUACAGGAGUUCUUUGUCAUUUUUAUAUUGUAGUGUAUCUUAGAGAAUGCCAACCAUAUGAUACAGUGAGGGAGUGAAUAGGGCUUCAAUCUUCUUUGCCCUGAAAUUCCUUUUUCUUUCUUCUUUUCUUUUUCUGAAGGCGAUUUAUGCAUCCAAGAAUUGGUCUAUGUACUACUAAGGUUUGUGGAUAUUUGAGAUGCAUCUAUAUUCAUAUGCAAUAAUGCGCAAACAAGUCAGUGAUUGGUAUUUACUAAGUGUCAGUUUGUCAGUAUCUUCUCUUAAGACACCUUUCUCCUGUUUCAGUUGUGGAAAGGUAGCUAGGGAAGAAAAUUCUGCAGAAAGCUACACAUUGGUUGUCUACUACUACUUGUGCAUAACUUAUGGUUCCUGGGAAAUGCUUGAAACCUGUUUCCUCAUUUUUUGUGAUAAUUAAUCUGAAAAAAGUAAAUGUCAUUUUCUAUGAGAGUUUUCCAUUCUUUGAUCAUAUUAUUCAAUACAUAAUUUGUUAAAUAUUGAUAGAAAUGUUGCAUUAGCAUAUUAUAUUCCCUUUCAAACCUAUUUUUGAACAAUUUGCAAUGACAUGUUUAUCUGGAUGAUUUAAUUCCAGCAAAGCACAGAUGUCAAGAUUGUACACAUUCAUUUGGGGCGAAAUGGCUAAAUCAAAGCCAAAAAUUGUGGAGGAAUUAUCUUCUGGGCCUUUCAUAUUUUUCCCCCACGUAUCUGGUUUCUCGCUUGAAGAUGUUGUCACUGGUGUAUUUUUGUCUCCUAAAGAAGUAUGUUGGCAUGAUACAACUGGUUCCAUGGAUCAAAUGAAGUUGGUGCAUCCAAAAUUUGCCCUAGACGUGAUUAGUCUUCCCUGCAUCAAAAUGUUAAGCAGAGUUUAUCCGGCCCUUCACGACUUCUUCGUAAAUGAAUGCGGAGUAGAAGAACUCCCUCCUAUUAAUGGUUAUCUUCAAAUUUUGAUAGAGUUGUCAACUGUUGCUUUGCCUUCACAGGUUGCUAGGACUGUGAGUAUUGGAAAACACCUUAUCCUCAGAUACUAGUAUAUCAUUAACUUUCCUGAAAUUUAUGUUAAAGAAUUUCUUUGCGUAUCAGGUUUUCAAUGUUUUUUCGGAGUGGGCUGAUAGAUUGAGUUGUGGAUUGUUGAGUAAUGAAGAUGUGGAAUACUUAAGAGGGAGAUUUCUGGAAAAAGAAUGUGCAGUGUUUCCCACAGCACAAGAUAAAUGGGUUUCACUACACCCAUCAUUUGGUCUCAUAUGCUGGUCAGAUGAUGAUGAGUUAAGAAAGGAAUUUAAAUAUCUUGAUGGUAUUGACGUGCUUAGCUUUGGGAAUCUCAUGGAUGAAGAGACAGAAUUGCUUCAGACUAAGGUUGCAAACCUCAUGAGAAUGCUGGGGAUACCUGCCCUUUCAACUGUAAUCUCUCUCCCUUGCAUAGUAGCUAAUAAUGUGAUUGACAAAAUGCUGCUGCUGCUUUUUUUUUUUUAUUAUUUUUGUUUUCCUUUUGUGGCCUUGAUAUCCAUUAAAUGUUGACCUAACUUGAAAUGCCAGGCAGAAUACAUUUGUAUUGAACAAAUCUUUUCCUGCGGUUAGUUUCAUAGAAGGCUCCGAUGCAUUCUCUUAGAUAAAACUGUUACCGUGUCUUUCAGAAGGCUCUAAGUUAUCCUUAUAGUUCUGUAUGUGGCAAGCGUGGGCUUCAAAUUUAUCAAAAUUUUUUAAGAGGCCAAUUAUUUUAAUCCUUGUACUUUCUAUUAGUGCAUCUUAAACUGUAUAAAAAAUUCACGGUGAUAAAAUACCAUGCUAAAGUGUUCUAUGGGCCUGACCUUUAUAGCAUUAGCAUCUUUAGAAAUGCGAAAAAAUAAAAAUCUUCUUGGUGCUCUGCUCAUAUCUGCUUUUGCAUUUUGCAUCCUUCGCACAUGAAGUACAGAACUCUUCGUCGAUGUUAUCUUUUAAACUAGUUUGAGGACAAAAUAAUGCCUGGAGUAAUUGUCUUCUUAACAUUUUCCCUUGCUUGCAGGUUGUGAGUCGUGAAGCCAUCUAUUAUGGUCCUACAGACUCUAGCUUGAAAGCAUCUCUUAUUAAUUGGGUUCUUCCUUAUGCUCAGCGAUACAUUUACUAUGUGCAUCCUGAUAAGUAUCUUCAGCUCAAGAAUUGUGGAUUUGAGAAUCUGAGAUGCCUGCAGAUUGUUGUAGUGGAAAAGCUGUUCUAUAGAAAUGUUGUUAAGAGACAUGAAGUUGUUUCUAAGAAACGCUUUGAGUGCACUUGUCUUCUACAGGUACCUACGUGCUUAAGCAUGUUUUUCAUCUUAUAAUGGCAAAUGGUCUCUUAGCUAAUAUUACAUGUUGGCAGAACUACUAUAGUUGUAUUCUCACCAAAAGCCUUAUGGAUCAUACGAGUAUAUAGCGUAUUAUUCUGUUACCUAGGAUACAACAUUUCUGUUUGCUUCAUUUUGCAUUGAUAUUUUUUAAUUCCUGGAGCAAUAAUGCGUCCUGGGCAUUUUUUUUAUUAUAUACAUCGGUCAUUUUCAUCUUAGUGGAAGUUACAACUUUAACAGAAUUGCCUGUUUUGAAUUACUUUUGGAUUGAACACUUCCAUUUAGCUGUUUGCAACAUAUGCAUACCUCAAAAUCUAAUAUGACAUUGUCAUCCAUUCCACAGGACAAUAUCUUGUAUGCCACUCCAGAAUCAGAUUCUCACUCAAUUUUCAUGGAACUUUCACGUGUAUUAUUUGAGGAUGUUCCGCAACUGCAUUUGGCAAACUUCCUUCACAUGAUCACAACCAUGGCAGAAGCAGGUUCCUCUGAGGAGCAGACAGAAUUUUUCAUUUUAAACAGCCAGAAGGUUCCAAAACUACCUGAAGGAGAAACUAUCUGGUCUCUGUCUUCUCUAUCGGGAAUAGUGAACGAUGAAUUGCAUACCAGUAGUACUGUUUCCGCAUUAGUUGACAAGUCGAACACACACACAAAUAAGAGGAAGCUUGACAUCAAUUCAAAUUGGCCACCAGUUGGUUGGAAAACUGCCCCCAGUUUUAAUUUUGCUUGUACAAAUGCUUUGAAGACACAAGCAGGUGAUAGCCUUCCAAUCAGGGAGGUUGAGGAUGCAGAAGAAAUUACCAUACAGACAGGUCAGAUGGCUCUAGCUAAUUUGAAUUCUGAUUUGGCUUUUCAAGGUGGCCAAUCUUCUAUUUUACCAGCAGUAAACUUGCAAUUUCAAGAUGGCCCCUCAUCUACUACACCCGAAGUAUGUUUACAAUUUCAAGAUGGCCCAUCAUCUACAGCACCAGAAGCAUGCAUACAAAAUCAAGAUGCCCCAUCAGGUACUACACCAGGAGCAUGUUUACAAAAUACUGUAAUUCCAGAAGACCAAUCUGAUCAUGCAAGCAUUAUGGCUGCUUGUAGUUCAGCUAAGAUAUUUGAUUCUGUUGAUGCUGCGAAUGCAGCUGAUGGCUCUCAUUUUGCUUUUUCUGAUACUGGUCUGAGAAAUCAACUAUCCUGGGGCAAUGCUGGUGCACAGGCAGCAUUAACAGGAAAACUGGGAGAGUUUGUAGCUUUCAAAUAUUUUGCAACAAGAGUUGGUGAGCGAUCUGUUAAAUGGGUAAAUGAAGCCAGUGAGACUGGGCUACCCUAUGACCUCCUCGUUGGAAAUGAGGAAAAUGGCUGGGAAUACGUUGAAGUUAAAGCAACCAAAUCCAGAUCUGCAACAAGGGACCUGGCUUUCAUAUCUGUGAGAGAGUGGCAAUUUGCAUUUGAGAAAGGUGAAUCUUUUAGUAUUGCACACGUCAUUCUCCUGGAUGACAACACAGCUAGGGUCACAACAUAUAAAAAUCCAGUAAAACUGUGUCAGCUUGGUAAGCUGCGGUUAGCCGUUUUCAUGCCAAGACAGCCGGAGUUGUCCAAUCUCUACUAAAGCUGCUACCCUUUUAUUUGAACUUACGGGGUUAUUUUUCUACGUGCUGGUUGCUAGUCUUCGCAACAGCACAGUGUCUGAUUUAAACGGCGGAAGGUGCCAGAACUUCCUGAUGGAGAGAAUCCAUCUGGUCUCUCUCUUUCAGUAACUGAGAAGGACAAAUUGCACACUAAGAAUUCUUUCACUGUGACGGAUGAGUCGAAUGCUUUUAAAUCUGAGAGGAGGCAUGGCAUCAACUCAAGCUGGCAACCCCUAGAUGACAAAACUGCUUCUGGUUUUAAUUUGCCUGUGCAAAUCAACUGCAGACAAAAUCAAGUAGCUGCCAUCAGAUCAGGGGCACUGAGGAUGUAAAAGAGUUAAAUACAUGGACGGGGCCCACGGGGGGCAUAUCAUUGAAUCCAAGUUGGAAUGUAACUCAAACUAGGAAGAUAGCUGAGCAUCUAUGUCACAGACAGUCCGUUGACAUGGUACUGAAAUUUCUAAAGAUCAGUAUAACCAACCGAGCAAGAAGGCUCAAUCAAUAGGAGAUUAUUUGGAUGAUUUAUUUAGAUAAUUAUUGUAGUAUUUUUUAUGAUGUGAUGUAUAUGAGAUAAAAAAAUGAUUGAAAAGAUAAAAAGGUGAUUGAAAUUUGUAAAACAAAUUAUUUUAUUUCAAAUACACUAACUGAAUCUAUGAAAAUAUCCCCACUCAAGCCUCAAGAGUCUUCUAUAAUGAUUCAAGUAGGCUCCACAACAUAAUUUUCAAAAGAUUCAAUUAAAAUAUAAUAAUAAAAGAGAAAUGUUAUUUGCCUCUCGAUUUUUGUUAAUCACACUUUCAUUAUCAUUCUAAUCAUAUAAAUUUAAUUUAUUAGACUAUAUAAAUAAAACAAAUAAUGAAAGUGCAAAUAACAAAAUAUGGAGUGCAAAUAAUAUUCAAAAAUUUUUCUCUCUUUUUUUUUUCGAGCACUCAAAAUGUUUCAAAGCAUUACGAUUUCUACAAUAAUAAUGGAUUAUCUUUCAAUAAAGUUUGAAAAAAUUCACCACAUCUACAAUAAUAAAGUAGCAUCUUUUCAAUGAAACAUUAAAAAAUUUAUGUGAAAAUUUAUACGAAAACUCUAAACAAGAGGAGACAUUAUCGAAUUUUUUCUCUUAAGAAUUUAAAAUCUUUCUAGUGUUGUAUUAGAAAAAAACUUCGUAUCUCCAACUUCGUUUGUAUUUUCAAGAAGAAAAGUUGUGUUUAAGUAAAAGACUAUAUAUAUAUUUUUUAAAAACACCUCAAAAAAUAGCUAAUCCAAAAUUCACCACAUCUACAAUAAUAAAGUAGCAUCUUUUCAAUGAAACAUCAAAAAAUUUAUGUGAAAAUUUAUACGAAAACUCUAAACAAGAGGAGACAUUAUCGAAUUUUUUCUCUUGAGAAUUUAAAAUCUUUCUAGUGUUGUAUUAGAAAAAAAACUUUGUAUCUCCAACUUCGUUUGUAUUUUCAAGAAGAAAAGUUGUGUUUAACUAAAAGACUAUAUAUAUAUAUAAGUCAAAUUGUUGGUUGGACCCCCAAACAGUACUUUACACGCGAAGCCGGAAUGAUAAACCCCAGCUAGAAGUAGAACCCUCCCCUUCUCAAAUUUGAAGGCUAAACAGAAAAAAUAAAAGAUAAAAUGUCCUUAUCUCGCCACCUCCUCCGCCGCGAACCACCCCCUGCAGCGUCAUUAAACCCUCUCUUCCACCUUCGCAACGCCUUCUCCACUACCACCACUCACCACGUCGAUCACCAGCGUAAUCACGAGUUUCUCCCGCCAGACAAGUACCUCAGCUCAUGGAAAGCCCCAAAGGACCCCAAAGAAGCUCAGGCGAAGCUCGCGAUGUUGCGGCGGGAGUAUGGGAAGAAGGUCAAAGCCGUCCGCAAAGAGUACAUUCGCGAAAUGGAAUUUCAGAAGCUCGAAAAGCUUAAGAAGGACGAAGCGAAGAAAGAGGCAUUGAGGAUCGCAAGUGAACAGAGGAAAACGGCGAAAGAGGCCGAGAAGAAGGCCAAGGCGAAAGAAAGAGAAGUUGCCGAGGAGGAGUUCCGACAAACCCUAGUAUGUUGUCAAUUUACUGUUUUGUCCUCCUUUGGUUCAGUUCAUUCUCUCUUUUCCGUUUACUUGGUUUAAAGUUUAUGGUAAAAUGUUGAUACUGAUGCGUUUGUAGUUUUCCUAUAAAAUCACACAAUAGCUGUUUGAGUGUUAGGACAUGAGUUUUGAAGGACGAAUCUUUUUCUGAAUAAGUGAUAAUCUUGAACAAUUUGAUGAUAUAUUUGAUUAGUAAAUAACAAGCAAGGCUCUGAUUGUUCUGAAUCAUGAAUCCUAUGGGUGCAUGGCCUAAUUGGAAUAUGUGUGCUUGUAAUUUUGAAAUAUUGUUAGUCAAGAAAUGUAUUUACGUUGAAGAAUCACUGAGUAAAGGACAUAGGAAAGAUGAUCUUGGGAAUUCUGUGAAAAUAGUUGCCUUCUUGUCCAAAAGUUUCUGUUAAAGUUGAGGCCUAACUACCAAGAAAAUACCACUCAUUAUGUUUCGUUAUUGAAAUUUACAAUAAAGAAGAUGUUUAUUGAUGUGAAAUAGUUCUCAAGGUUCCAGCCAAAAAUUUUUUUUCUUGUGUUGUGGAUUUGAAGUUGAACCUAUGAUUAACUACUGUGAACAAGCUGAUUUAUGGAGCUAGAAUGGGCUUUAAAGUGCUGUACACAUUUACUUGUUUUGGUAGAAAACUAAAAUGGAUGUAGAAGAAGAGGAACAGGUCUGUGAAGAGCUUUUGAUUGAGUGAUUAUCUGAGAUGAAAUGGAGUUCUUGCCGAUGCUUCUUUGUUACCACUUACAUGAAAGUAUGACUUGGAGGCCAAACCCAGUUGAACCAAACCAUGCAUCGCUCUACAGCAAUAGCCUUCCGUAGUAUGUGAGUUUUGGUGUUUUUCUCUUAUGAUCAAAAGGAUCCUACAGAAGUUUUAGAGUAAAGUUGACCUUUCAAGAUUGAACUUCACUUUACUUUCAGUCAUGUUACUGUCAGGGAUCCUGAAAAGUUGCUUCUUUUUUUCCCCAUAAGAAAGAGAACUAGUAUUUUCUUGAAAUUCAGGUUAGUUUGCUAUUGUGCAGACAUACAGGUUACAUGGUAAUGGAGUUGAUAUCAAUAGGUUGUAAUAAUUUUGUAUUAUCUUUUAUGUUGCAGUCACGUGGUAAAUGUAUGGCGUCAAAUUUCUGCCAAUGUAUAUGGUUAAAGUAACAGAACGUAAUCAAAACCUGGAAUUAAGCGGUGAAGAGUGAUAAAGACACUAUUGUUUACAGGUGGGUUUAAGGGAGACUUCACGCCUUACAAAGGGUAAGGGUAAAGGAGGGGGUUGAGGGUCGAACUAGGGGAAUCAGGGUCACCUAGCUAGUGUCGGUACCAAAUGAACUGGGUUUGGAGACACAGGCAGUAGUGAUUGCUAGGAGUAAUUUGAUGAUGUAGCAGUUCAUCUAUGAAUAUGAAGAAGACAACUCUCUGGAGACCCAAGAUCAGGAAUAUAUUGCUUAAGUAAAGCUUUUGGUCCAAAGAGAGGUUUCCACGGUACUGAAUGGCAUGCCUUUUGGUUAAUUGUCCUUUCUUAACUGUGUGAUUUUGGCUUUAUUUAUUGAGCUUUGAAGGUUGAGGGUAUCCUUUUAAUCUGAGUGGUUGCUGUGUUUCAACUUUCCUUCUUACGGUCAAAUUUGGGUUCCCACAUUGGUUGCCAUUAAAAGUCUUGGUUGCCAAUAAGUAUGCUUUUUUUUUUUUUACAAAUUCCAUGGACCAUUCUCAUCAGACAUUACCUCAAGGAACAUAAGAGUGUGAAUGGUUUUUGAUACUAUUCCCUUCCAUUUAAUUCGUGAUGUUCAUUCCUAGCUCCAUGUUUUGUCUGAUUUCUUUUUCUGUUUUAAUUUUUGUUCCAGAAGGGGAGGUGGAAGGGGGAAUUGAGGUUGAAGUUCGUGUCCCAGAAUGCGUAGAGAAGGUCCUUGACCUGUAAACAGUUUGGAAUGAUAAAAUCUGUCUAAAUUUGCAUCUGAACAAACUUGGAGCUAGUGCAUCAUUUAUGGCAAAAAAAAUUUUCUAGGAUUGAAUAAAGUUAUUUGCCUUUUAGCAAGGAAAUAAGAUGAAACCAAAAAUAGACCAAGUAAGAAGUGGAGAAGUGGGGAGGCCAGGAUAGGACUAGAGACUGAUAAUAAAGAGUUUUUUGAGAUUAUCACACAACUAGAAGGUACAAAGAACAUGUACUGAUACUGCUGCAGUGUGCUGUGCAGAAGUGAUUCUCUUGCAUUAGGAAAACUAUUUUGAAGAUAAAAUGUGUACAUAUGUUGAGCUUCUGUAAUAAGUUAAUGGAAUCAGUGUCUGGUUUUCCACUGAGACAUCAUCUGUUGCUUUUCUUUUUUCUUGGAAAAUUUGUUUGUUGCUUGUUUUUCAUAAGACUGCACAGCGCAGUUAAUUGAUACAGGACCUCGUAAUACUAGUUUAGGGAAAUGGAUUUCAUGUAAAGAUAAAGCCAGAAUUUGUUUAGUGAGAGUUAUUUCCAUGUAGAGUUCAUGUACACUGAUAGCAGCAGUAAAAAUCUGACAUGCAUGUUACAUAUUUGUAUGCUAAUGGUAGUAAUGUUAAGAAAAGCAUUAAUGAUUUAUUGAUGCUUAAAUUGCUUUAUUGUAGAGGCAUCUCCACUUGACUAUGAUUCCAUUAUGCAUAUGUAUGUUAAUGGUAUUAAUGUUAAGAAAAGCAUUAAUGAUUUAUUGAUGCUUAGAUUGCUUUAUUGUGGAGGCAUUAAUGAUUACACUUUGUUCUUUAUUUAUUUAUUUAUUUUGUUCUCCUUAUGCGAAGUUGCAGAGCAUUUGACAACCUCGUUCGUUAUGGUCUAGCUUAAUGUAAAAGCCCCCCUAGUAAUACCAGUUUGUAUGAAAUUGAACGUUGUGGUUUGCUUUAUACGAAUUGGUUCAUGUAGGAUAUAUAUCUUUAUAUUGUCCCUGACGUUCCGUAUAUCAUUGCUGCAGUUGAAAGAAAGAGCUCAGAAGCUUGAGUACUGGAGAAUGAGAACAAAACGAGUUGAGGAAAAGGAGGAGGAGAAGAAUGAGCUUCUUCGUCGACAAAGUUCAGUAUGGAUUAAUGAAGCUGAUUUGGAGAAGAAGAUCCUCGAGGCUAUUGUUGAUGGUACUCCCCUAUAGGGUAUCAAAGUCGACUCGCAAUGCUUCUUGAGGAGAUCUCUCUCUCUCUCUCUCUCUCUCUCUCUCUACAUUAUAACUUUUGGACAGCACAAGGAUAAGGAUGAUGAGUUCUUGAUGCUAUGUCUGCAAUUUUCAUAUUAUCUUUUAAUUGUAUCUGUGACUCCCUUUAUUGGAUUAAAUGGUAUACUGGCAGUGAAACUCCCUUUGUAGGAAGUUCUGUCAAGAAGAGCUUCAAAUGAGUCAAGUCUUUGUAAUAGAAAACUUGGAUAUAGCUCAUAAGGUCAAAUGAAUUUAGAUAAAACUGAGUUCAGUAUGAGAAACUUUUUCCUUUUUUUUUUUUUGGCCCCUAAGGACAUGGAAUCUUUUUACCUUUUUCUUUUUUGGUCCAGAACAUGGAAUCUAUUUACUUACAAAGUUGACCAAAAAAGAUUACAUGACUGGCAUAACCAUUUCUGACUUGGUGGUGCGUCAAUAAUAUAGAACAAGGAAAAUCUCAACUCAUGUUCUCGGCUGGGAUUGCUCAAUUUCACGUUCAACUGUAAGGUGAAAGUUUUCCAGCGUACAAGUUCACUGAGGUUUAUAAAUAUACAGGGUAGUUACAAGAGUUUUUUCAAAGCGGAAGAGUUCCUUUCUUUUAGCAGCUCUUUUAUCUUUUAAUUUCAAAUUUUCUUGAUUCUCAUUCAUAUUCCGAUAAGAAUUCUCAUAAUCAUAAAAUGACAUAUUGUUAUAGCCUGUAUCUGUGAAAUGAAAGUGGAAUUCAUCCUUUGUUUUUUUCCUUUCCAUUCACUCGGAUUUCUUCCGUUUCAUCGAUUUUGUUCGUAUCCUCUUUUUAGUCUGAAAGAAGGGGAGGAGGAGGAUCUUCUUCGGUGGAUCUCUCUUGUUUCUAUUUAGUCCCCUUCAUUUCGGAAGUUGCUUCUAUUGCCACACCCUUUCUUCCUCACUUUCCACCCCUCCUCCCGUUUUCGAGGUUUCUUACCAGUGCCCAAUUCCUGUAAUCUCCAAAGACUCGUUAUGUUCUGUUCGUCGGAUAGCCAUUUGCUGUUUAAAUGUGGUUCAAGAACCUUUAGGACUCACCGUUGCUGCAUUUCGCAGUGUUGGAUUAAUUGGUUCCCAUUCUAUAAAACCACACAACUCUAGCAGAUAAACUAACUUGAUCCAACAAUUAGUACUGAAACAUCUUCCUAAUGGAACUCUUGACUUCAAAAAACAAGCCCUGCUUGCCCAACUAGUUAUGUAUAUCAAGAUAACAGAGACUCAAAGCACUGUAAAACAUAAUUACGAACUGAAAUCACAUAAAGUUUACAAACUUGACAGCCAUAGCAGAAUGAGACUAUCCUUAUUUGAGGACACCAACUUAAGUCUUGUAAAUUAGGUAAUGCAUCCACCUGCAACACUUGGGAUGUGCAAAUAUUUUACUUAAACGCCAUAAAGAACUUUGAGCCUGUCUUCAAUUAGGUAUAACUUUUUUGUGUGGGUUAAAGAAACCAAUUCAAAAUGAUUGAAUGGCUUGAACAGUAAAGGAUGUUGCUCAUCAACUAGCUCUUUUGGCGCUUCCACUAUCCCAUGCGUGUAGCAAAAUAAUCCAAUCGAGUAUCUUGGCUCUUCUGCUGGCAUAAUGACUCGAUGAACCUUAGGGCGUAUCCUACCAUUGCUCCAUGCCUGUGGAAAGAAAAAAUAUCUCACACACUCUAAUAUAUAAAUAUAUAUAUAUUUUUUUUAUGCUUUCAAAAGUCAGGCCAGACGGAGUUAGUUAUCAUCAGAAAAUAGUUGCAAAAAUAAUUGCACAAGUAACUGAGGAACUGACAAUCAAAAGAUAAAACAUCAUGAAAUGAGAGAUGGUAUUUUAAUUUUAAUUUUAAUUUUAUCAAUCAGCAAUAUCCACUCUGCUUCUAUUCCUACUCCUAUUCUAAUCUAUUUUAAGGAGGAUCAAUUGGACCACGGAAAAUCAACGAAAGCUGAACCAUCUUCGGAUUAGGUGGGCGCACUAGGCACCCAUAUGAAUUUGGAAAAGUCAUAUGUUAAUGGCAAAGUAACAAAAAGUAAGAUUUACAUUCUUGACUUUCCACCCCAUGGAGACAUAAAUUCUUUAUGGUGGCCAACCACCCGAGGCGUUGGUUAGGGAGAUGGUAUUUUACCAUAACUAUCAAUCUACCACUUAUACUAGCUCCAUCUGUUGUUCCAUUAAAAGUGUCUCAAAUCUAUUGCCAUUUACCUAAAAUGAAAAAGUAUUUCUCACCAAAUUCCAAUCUUUUCCCUUCUCUACCUGACAAAAGUUAUCUUAUCUUACUAGUUAAAAAACUAUGAGCCCUCAAACCUUUAAUUCACUAGUCAGUGAAACAUUAAAAGCAGUCAAUGGUUAGUGUGUGAGAUACACCACUCAAUCUGGAGGAUACGUUAUCUACAUGCAUGGCUGAGUGACUGGAGUCAUAUCAUACGUACAUUCUUGAAACAAACCAAACAAACUGACCCACACAUGCUCACUUCCAAGACAUUUCUCUGCUAGUGAGUGCGCUUUGUGAGGGCAUAGUAUAGGAAAAGUAGUCCAAAAUUUGACCAAAUUGUCUUCAUUGUUGAUAAAAAAGCACUUAUCCUGAAAAGUGACAACCAAACCACCAGGCUUUGGCUUUGAGCUGGUGGCCACCAUCAAACCUUUAAGGCUUGAUGGGGUGGGAGGUUACCUCCCACCAAAUGCCACAGUAGUGGCUUUCCAAAUCCAAACGGGUGUCUAGUACACCUAUUUGAUCCGAGGUGAUUCAAUUCCCGUCAGUUUCUCUAUAGGUCCAGUUUGAUCCCUCAUAGAAUAAGUUAGAGUAAGAAUAAGAGUAGAUCUAGAAUAGACUGUUACCGACUAUCGAAAAAAAAGAAAGAAAAGUGACAAUCUUUUCGGGAAGGUGGGUGGGAGUAGCAUUUAAUACUAAGAAACUGAGCCAUUAACCAAUUCCACUACGUAAACAAAUUAAGAAUCCUAAUCCUACGAAAAUGUGAGAAGAGAUCAAUCAUAAAUGCAUUCAUCAAAUUAAUAAAUACUUGGAAAAUGCAGCCUACCAAUAAUCCAUCACCAGCAACCAGGGCGAAGGAUGAGGGAGGAAAAUCAACCGGAACCCAACUUCCAUCCUUGGACUUGACCUCCAAACCAUUGACUUCAUUUUGAUCAAGUAUGGUCAUGAAACUCGAGUCUGUAUGAGGAACCACAGCUACAUCUCUUUCAUUCGGCUCUGUUGCUCUAUAUUUGUUUACUCGACAUAUAUAAGCCAAUGAUUCUUUGAGAGAUUCGUAGUAUUUCUCAACACCAUAGCCUUCAAGUACCAUUUUGAGUAUCAGCUCAUGCAAUUCUGCCACUUGCUUUGUGUAGGAAAGGAUGAUUUCCCUGAUCGUUAAUUUGAAAGCACACAAAAUAAAAAAAUAAAAAAAAAAGAGAAAACUUAUGUUACUACAAUGACAUUUUAAUGAGAUUUAUCAUAAAUGUGGGGACUCUUUUCUUUUGCCUUUUCAAAGGGAUAAUUUCAUAAUCCUCUCCUGAGAAUUUUGAUAAUGUCAGUUGGAACCCCUGGAGUUUUCAAUGCAGCAUUGGCCACUCCUAUGUUGAGUUUUAUCGGUUUAAUUUUAAUGUAACCAAUACAACCCAUCAUCUAUAAUAGAAAAAAAAAUCAUGUAAAAUGCUAGAAGCCAUUAUUGACUUUUCUAAAUUAUCACUUAAAUUACUAAUUACAAACUAAUAUAACAAAUUUAAAGUUUUUUUUUAAAAAAAAAAAAAAAAAAGCAAGAACUUGAAACGCAUGGGAAAAAGAAAAAGAGAUGAUCUUGAGAGUUUAUUAGGGCACGUUGUAAAAUUCUUUGAUGAAGUAGGAGAAUUAAAAUUCUAAAUGUUGAUGCUCGGAAGUACUACUUACCAAAACCUUCUUGGGCAUGCAAGGACAUUCAUUUGAUGCAAAGAAACGGGAUCAUUUGACCAACGUUUCAUUAUUGCUUAUGAGGAUAAAGUUUUCUAAAUUUAAUUUUUUGCUAUCGCUUUUUAAAAGUCAAAUUUAUUGUUCUUGUUUCUUUGGGCCUACGUGUUUCCAAGCAUCAAGACUUGCACAUUUAAUUCUCUUCACAACUUUCUCAUAGCUUCAUAACUCUUUCCAUCCUUUCAAAUUCAACUUUUUUCCCUACUUUUUUAAGUCACACCCUUUUGCAUUUGAAUUGUUUUAUCAAUUUUUCAUAGCCAUUCGAGGAUAAUUUGGCAGUAAAAAAUAGUUUUUAGCAUUUUGUAUGAACUCAAAACAGGAGAGACAAGUUAAAUUGGAGAGACAACAUUUAGCAUUUUAGCAUGUAAUAAUGUAAACCACAUGCUUAACAAGUUAAAUUGUCAAAAACCUCAACGGAGGAUCUGGCAGUUAUCCCUUAUAAAAAUUACAUUUACCUUCUUCUAAUUUCAUAUACGUCGCUUAUGUUUAUAACCUUUCCGAUUACAUUGAUUUUUUUUUUCUAAGUCCACAAGUACAACAACUUUUUCCAUUACUAUAUAUAUUUUAGUAUGUGUGGAUGUGUGUGUUUAGCUAAAUUAUUUUACUCAAGCAUGAUGAAGUACCAAAAAAAAAAAAGAUAAAAUACACUUUACUCCCAUGUGAUUUAGCAUUUUUUCGCAUAAUCCUCUUGUGGUUUAAAAAACUAUAUAUAACCGCCUCAUAGUUUGAAUUAAAGUAUCAAAAUUACGGCAUUUGCAUUCCAUAACAAAUUCAACUAUAAUAUCAAAAGUACUCCUCUGUAAAGUUGAAAAUUAUCAAUCAACUACAGGGAUUUAUGUAUAUAUUUUAAAAACCACAAAAGGGAUUAUGUGAUAAAAAAUAAACUUUAAGAAGAUUAUCUAGUAAAAUACAAAAUCAUAAGACGUUAAAGUAUUGUAUAUAUUACGAUUAUGCAUGUUGAUCAUUUUAGUCAUUUUAAAUUUUAAACAAGGAUAUUCUUGACAUUUUCUUGAAUUUCGUUACGGAGGAUUUUUUUUAUAAAUUUGACACUUUAAUUCAAACUAUGAAAAUGGUUAUAUAUAACUUUUGAAAUUAUAGAAAUUACAUGAAAAAUCUCUAAAUCACAGGGAAGUAAAAUGUAUUUCAUCCCAAAAAAAAGUUUUAAGUUGUACCUUAAAUGGUCCUUCUUCCCAGAGGAGCGAAAGAGAUUUGUGAAACCUUCAACAGCUUGUAUACUAGUUGGAUCUCCGAUGGCUGCAAGUUCAAGAAUAGGAGGCUUACCAUCACGAGCUUGCCCAAAAUAACCCAAAUAAGGCUUAUCUGAAGUGAACCGACUUUUUUGCUCCUCGGGAAGAUCGUGGAACUCCUUCAUUGCUAAGAUAAAUGCAUUCUUGACUUCUGAAGAAAUUUUGUCGUAAGUUACCAGAAAAAACCCAUGAUUCUCAAGUGCAUCCUUGACCUGCUUGCUUGUGGAUAGCCAAGAACUUGUGCCAGGUUCUGAGUUUUCACUGCUAAAAUCUAUGCGAGGAAGGCUUGGAGUUUGGGUGGCCAUAACUUCGGCCUUGAGCAGUGUAUCUUAGUUGUUGCAGAUUAAAAAUGGCAAAGAGGAAAGUAGUUUAACAGCUGAAUUAUUGCUGACAAAGACUUGUUGAAUAAGUUCCUUAGCCGGUUGAAUACGUUUCUUUGAACUGCUCCUUUCAAAGGAAAAAUACGAAAGUCUUGUUAUACAACUGGCAAGUAGACCGGAAAAUUGGACGAGUUGAGCGAUUUUUUGGCUGGUUCGUGUUGAGUUGUCAACCAUUUAUACCUACACCACUCAUAUUUCUACGCUAUGAAAGAAGGAUAGAUCCAAUUAGACCAUUGGGAACUAGAAGGGAUGCUGGAUUUCAAAAAGCUACGUAUCAAUCGAUAAGACUAAAGGGCCGAAUUCUUGAUUUUUCAUCCCACAAAAAUCUAAAGAAUCUUUAUGGGUUGAUGCUAGGGUAUGCAUCGAAUUUGAAAUCGGUAAAUCGAAAGUUUGAAUUCGGAAUUUUUUGAAAUUUUGGUAUCUGAUAAUUUGACCGAAUUCGAUUUCGAAUUCACCAAUUCCUAAUUCGAAUUCGUACCGAAUUCAAUUUGGAAUUCGGUGAAUUCCGAUUUCACCUCGGAAAAAUUUAUAUAUUAUUAUAUAAUAUAAAAUUUAUUAUAUAAUAUAAAAUUUAUAUUAUUAUAUUUAUAUUAUUAUAUUUAUAUAAUAUAAUGUUAUAUAAAUUUUAUAUUAUAUUAUAUUAUAUAAAUUUUAUAUUACAUAUAUAAAAAAUAUAUUUAUAUAUUAAAAACGAAUUUGAAAUUGAAAUCGAAAUUCGAAAUCGAAAAUUUCGAUUUGAAAAACUUCAUUACCGAAUUCGAACCAAAUUCGAAAUAUAUGAAUUCAGAAAAUCCGAAUUCAAUUCCGAUUUCUGAUUUAUCGAUUUCAAAAAUUUCGAAUUCGGUCGGUAAAUCAAAAUUUUUUGAUUUUGCACACUCCUAGUUGAUGCUCAUAUUUGGGUCACACUACAUUAACAAAAAUUCAUGAUUCAAAUAUGAUCUAACUUAUUCUUUUAUUUAGGAUAAAAUAUAGUAAAUCCCCUUGUAAUUUACAUAAUGAUUAAGAAACCUUCUUAAUAUUCGAAAACACCCAUUAAUAUAUCCUAUGCUUUGGACUAAAUUGAAAUUUGGACGAAAAAUACGAAAAGUGAACCACACUCGCCUAAUACGUAAAUAUGAUUGUCCGUUGCAAUGUUUUGCCUAAAAGUUGAAACUUUUCAUCCGAAAAUACCCUCUUUUGUUUUCUUUCCUUUUUUUUUUAUUAUUUCUUUUGCUUUCCUUCUCUCUUGCUUUGAAUUGAAACCGGGAGUCAGAAACGUGCAUUUUCUUUCCCCUUUAUUUUACUUUCCUUUUCUUUUCUUUUCUUUCUCUUCCUUCUCUCUUUUUCUUUUGUCUUUUUUUUUUCUUUCCCUUUCUCCUACUUACGGACCAGAACAUUAUCUUUCCUUUUUCUUCUUUUAUCUUUUUAGUUUUAAUUUUCAUUUUUGCUCCCAAUCUAAUCCAUGUAACAAUCCAAGAUGCAAUAAUGGAGAUGCUGCCGCCAUGAGCCACCAACUGUCACCACCGUCAACCUCCUGGCGCCACCGCUUCCAUCACUGUUAGAUCAAAACUUCACAAAUUCCUCAAUUCAAAUUCUAUUUUUGACGUAGAUCUGAAUUAUGGCAACCAACUUGGCUGAAAAUGGCCAGAAAGUAGUUCAAAAAGCCUACAAUCAAAAUAGGUCUAGUCCUCUAUUUCCACUAGAUUACCACUAAAUUUAGUAAAAUUGAUACUAAAAUCAUCCUUAGGAGCCAUAGAUUGAAUUUAUAGCAUCAAUUUAACACAAAAAACACAUGAUGAUGGUAAAAAUGACGAAGAUGACCUAGGGAGGCGGUGGUGGAGAUGGCUGAUGAAGAUGGUGACGAUUCAAUGAUGAAGAUGGGAUGACCAUGAUGGAAGCAGCGACCUUCGUGGUGUCCGCUAGAUCGAAUGAAUCCGUUUUUGGAUUAGCUUAUUUUUCAAAAAUAUAAUUUUAAUUAAGCCCUACAUUUUACUUUAUUCUUAAUGGAUUCAAGAAAGUUGUUAAAAUUUUAAUUGACUCCUUAACCAACUUUUGGUAUAGUUUGAAAACAAGGUUAGUAUAAGAAUUUUACAUGCUUCCGUAAUUUAGAUGGUUUCUGUCCUUCUCCCAAAUUAGUCCAAAUCAUCAAGCGGUCUUUUGGCUGUUUUCAAAUAAUAAGAAUGAGAUUUCUUGACCUUUAUGUAAACCACAAGAGGGUUGAUUGUAAUAUUUUACCCUUUUAUUUAUUUUGAUACAUAAUACUCCGUCAUACAUAUUUACACCCACAAAAUGAUUUUUUUGACACACAUAAGCUCAUUUUCACGUAUAUAAAUAUAAUUUCACAUACUAAAAACACUUCCAUGCAUGUGAACACACACGUACUUCUUAAGUUCCUCAAAACUCUUUUAACAGGCGCACAGUUGUCUAAUCCUAAGAUAUAUGGACCAUUUUUUCCGGCAUGCCAAACAUAUUAAAGCUCCAUCAUUUUAUCCUUAAAACAAAAAAAAAAGAGAGAAAAACAACAGUAAUUUGAGAUCCUCCCUAUCCCACAUCGAAAGAUCGUGGGGUCUUUACUCUGGAUUUAAGGUCCAUAGGGACCAUUAACUCCUGCAUUUAUCUAAAUUAGUUGGGUGUGUGUGUUGUUACCGUUUACUGAAAAAAGCAGUAAUUUGAGAUCAAAUGUCCUAGAAUCUUGCAUGGGUAACAGUUCUACGACCAAUGAGAAAUUUCAGGAUAUCCUCAAAGGAAAAAGGCUGCUGAGCUCUUCCUUUUUUUCUCUACUGAUUAGGAGCUGACACAAAUGAAGAAACUUUCAUGCAUGCAUGAGCAAGCUGGAGCAACUCCCGCAACAUGAGUUUGUAGAAGAUUCAGCUGUCUAAACUCUGAUCAAUUUUGUUGAGUGUCAAGGUGUGGAUCUCUCAGAUGGCAGGAAGCAUGUACAUUUAAAACGGGAAGAACUACCAAAAUGCUAUAGCAUUUGGUAAUCCCGUAAAUCUCCAGCCAGCAGCUUGCAUUGCAAUUCUAAGUGCUAAUUAAGAUAGAGAAUACGGCUAUAUGCCCAAUGGCUCGGUAACAGCAAGCAUUCAUCCAAAGCCAGUGAUUAGACGUUUAUGUGUUCUUUCAUUAGGUUUUAAGACCCAAUUUCAACAUUUCAUCGAUUUCCAAAAAUUGAAAAAUUGAUAUUUUAGUUGACUCUAAAUAACAAGAAAAUAUUUAGGAUAUAAAAGACAAUAGUUCAUUGUGCCGGAUUCUUUUCAUUUUUAUUGUAUUUGGUUAAUUUGGGCCUGUGAGAGCCCAACUAAAAAGCCAACCCACCCAAAAAAAUAUUUGAGUUUUUGCUACCCAAUAUAAAGGUAACCCAUCACGUAACUGAUCCAACCCACCCUUCAAAAUAAGCAGGCGACAAAAUAAUUUUUACUUAUCACAACCGUCUAUGUCAACCAUCCCUCACAACCAUCUUUACUUAUCACAUAUCUGGGACUAAUCUAUGUCGACGACAUAUUAAGGUUGGACCUAAAAUUGCAUGUUCCCUAAAAGAAAUUAAUGGAAAUGAGUCAAUUGAUUGCCAUUCAACAAAACUAAACAAGAAUACUAACAGAUAAGCUAAGUUGAUCCAACCAUUAGAACUGAAAUAUCAUUUGUUACCAUUACAAUUCUGAUUCUCAAGUGCAAACCAUACUUGCCCAAUUAAUUAUGCAUGCCGAAAUAACCAGACUAAAAGCAUGCAAAUUGAAGCACAAUUAAGAGCUGAAUUUACCUCUCAUUCCCCAACCAUCCAGUCACCAAGGCAAUCUUCAUUUUGGUCUUUACCUCCCGCUCCUCAUUUCAAAAUCAACUUUGAUGCUUCUAUAUCAACAAUUCACCAAGUUAUUGGUAUCGGUGUGGUUAUCCAUAGCUAUGAUGGUCAGUUCAUUGCUGGCUUAUCCAAGAAAGCGCACCUCCUAACUAGUGCAGAAUUGGCAGAGGUUCUUGCUGCAAGGGAAGCGGUUUUGCUUGCUAAGAUAUUGAUGAUCCCCAGCUUCAUUCUCGAAGGAGAUGCGUCCUCAGUUAUAAAUCAGAUUAGCAGCUCAGAUGAGAUCCUCUCCGACUUAGGAACUGUAAUUGAGGAUAUCCACAUUUCCUUGUUAGACCAACACAUUGUGAAUGUAGCACGGAUUCCUAGAGAUGCAAAUAAGGUUGUGUAUAGUUUAGCAAAUUUUGCUAAAUCAUCCAACCUACUUGAAUCUCCUUGGAAAUCCUCUCCCCCCCCCCUCCCCCGAGUUUUGUCGAACAGUUGGUGUUAGACGAUUUCCAGUAAUCUAAUCGAUUAAUACAUCCUUUUGUUUUUUUUUUUAUAUAAAAAAAGAGUUGAAUUCACAAACAUGUAUCCCAUACAUAUGUAGUUUAUGGGCUCGAAUUGUAUAUCAUGUAAAUUGGGUAAUGCAUCCGCAAGCAACACUUAAGAUGGACAAAUGGAUUCCUUGAGCGCCAAAAGGACUUUGAGCUUAUCUUCAACUACGACCACCCUUUCUGUGUAGGCCAAUGAAACCAAUUCAAGAUUAUCAAAUGGCUUAAACAGUAAAGGAUGGUGCUCAUCGACUAGCUGUUCUGGUGCUUCCAACAUCCCUUUCUUGUAACAACACAAUCCAAUUGAGUAUCUUGGCAUUUCUGAUGAAAUUGUGACUCGAUGAAGGACAGAACGUAUCCUGCCAUUGCUCCAUGCCUGUGGAAAGAAAUUGUUUAUCAUAAUAUUAUAUAGAUACGAAUUUGGGCUCUCAGGAGACUUUGGCGGUGUUAAUAUCUAUGUAUAUACCAUAAGAAAUUAGCAGAAUUGCAUGUGACAAGUAGAUGAGAAUCAAAGGACAAACGUCAUAGAGUCAAACAUAGAUCUUCUAAUGAGAAUUUAAUCCUCAUUUAACACAAGUAGAACAAAUCCAGAUUCGUAACGCCUUCAGAAACAAGAAUUUUAAGUUUACAUAUAGAUUGUGAAUCAUGCUUCUAAAUACCCUUGUGUAAAAAAUAUCUUCAUUAUCAAGAUAAGGAAAACAUUCAUCAAGCAAGACUGCACAAGGAGUUUUGGGAAUUUGGCAUCUAUAUUAGUAUUCAAGUAAUAAUACUGAAGUGUAUGUGGAUAAUUCUUUUUAGCAGGUCGAUUUGCAAAUUCAACUCAACAUCACAAGAUGAUUCUUUUAAAUACUUCCAAUAUGUCUAACCUGAAUUCUUUCAUAUUAAACUGAGAACUCGAAUUGUUAUUAAAAUGAUUAUAAACGAGGGCACAGUCGAUUACAUGGAUUAAAGUAACACAUGAAAGAAAUGGCCAACCAUCAAUGCAUCACCGGCAAAAACGGUGAAGGCCGAGGGAGGAAUAUCAACUGGGAUCCAACUUCCGUCGUUCAACCUGACCUCCAAACCAUUGACUUGAUUUUGGUGAACUAUGGUCAUGAAACUCAAGUCUGUAUGAGGAGCCAAACCUACAUUUUUCUCAUCCAACUUGGCUGCUCUAUACUUGUUGACUCUACAUAUAUAAGCUAGCGAUUCUCUGAGCGAUUCGUAGCAUUCCACAACCCCAUAGCUUUCACAGACCAUUCUGAUUAUCACCUCAUGCAGUUCUCCCACUUGGUUUGAGUAGGAUUGCAUGAUUGCACUGAUCAUUAAAGUUCAAUAAACAGAAUUACAGAGAAGAAUAAAGGAACAAAUUACAAUGAUGUUUACGAGAUUUAUCAAAACUGCAGGGUUGUAUCUAUAACCUUUCUGAUCGAUUUCAUUAUAUUUCCUAGCUUAUCAUAAAUUGAACUUUUCUUGUUGAAUAAAAAGAUCUGUCUAACAAGCGCUCAACAGGGAUUGGUCCAGAAGGGUCUAAGUUGUUUGUGUUUGGAAAAGUGAAAUUCAAUCUGCAGAAUGUCUUAAAUGCAAAAGGGACGAGAAAUCUCACUGUGUGCAUUUAAAUGGUAAAAUUCAGCGUAAUGCAAUUACUUUUCUGGUCUGAAAGCGGGUUUUCUCCCUCCAUCCUGCAAAUGGCCUAGUUUGGCGUCCUCUACUCCCAGUAAUAUAGGAGUAUAUCAAUAUUGUUGCAGUUUGUAGAAACAAAAUAUGAACUGAUCCAUGCCACUGGGCACCGGUUAUAUACACAGAAACACAUAUAAUUAAGCUAUUUUAAUUUGGGACGCAAGAAUUCCCAGAUGAAAUCAAAGAAGCACAAUGUAAAGUUACGAUGUCUUUGACCGAGAGUUGGACAACAUCAGGUUUCUCAUUUAGGUAGUAUGGUACAAUUGGAAUUGUAAUAUAAAGUUCAAUAUGGGCAUAAUUUAACAUGCCACUGCAUAGAAAAUGAAACUUCAUUCCAUCAAUAACAGUCCCAUUGAGCAAUCCAAAGUGAAGAACAAAUGGUUGCACUUAUGUAAAGCAAAAAGUCUCAAGCUAUUUCAAAAGGUCAGUUUUCUCCACAUCUCUCUGUGUUUGAGUUGUAGCGUAAAGAGUUUGUCGUAUGGUACGGUACAAAGGAAGCAGAUCAUUAUAAUUGAAAGCAAAUUAAAGCACUAUUAACGAGUAGUUAAAUUUGUAUAGAGUAAAGUUAGGCAUGACCAAUGUUAGCUGAAUCCUAUGGGAAAGCACCAUUACAUGACUUAACAAAAACAGAGAUUUUUAUCCACUACUGGCUUAUUUCAAAUUAACUAACUUCUAAGUUCUUGAUCUACAUUAAACAUUAAUACGACAAAAAAAACUUCAUCAUUAGUAAGAAUGAAGCUAAUUCAUUAAAAGAAACAACAAACUUAAACUAACAAACAAACACUAAGAUGCAUUUGAAGGAAGAAACCAGCUGAUAUAUGGGCAUAUUGUGUUCCAUACUUUUAUUGACAAUUUACCCAUCCAACCAACAAGUAAAAUUACUCAUACGCCCACUGGUGAAGGUGUGUAUAAGGGACGAAGAUGCACUGUUCCUAAGGGUACUCUCUGUCCCUUUAAAGAUGUUAGGAUAGAAUUAUAUAUGACUUGAUGAUUCCAGUACAAAAUACUGACCUGACAUAAUCCUUCUUUGCGGAGGAGAAAAAGAGAUUUGUGAAGCCUUCAAUAGCUUCCAUACUGGUUGGAUCUCCAAUAGCAGUAAGUUCACAGGUAGCAAGAUGAUCAGCUAAAUAACCCAAAUAAGGUUUAUCUGGAGUGAACUGACCUUUUUGCUCCUUGGGGAGAUCAUAGUACUCCUCCAGUGCAAGGUGAAAAGAAUUCUUGAUUUCUGAAGAGAUCUUGUCAUAAGUUGCCAGAAAAAUUCCAUGAUUCUCAAGUGCAUUCUUCACUUGUUUGCUUGUGGAUAUCCAAAUAUUGGUGCCAGGUCUCAAGUUCUGAUUGCUAAAAUCUAUGAGAGGAAGAUUUGAUGGAGCUAAUUGGGAAUCCAUAACUAUUUUGUUGACCUCUGUAUCUCAGUCGUAGCAGGCUUAAAGGGCUGAAGCAUACUUUUAAAAUGGGCAAAUUACUCUUUACCCCCUGUAAUUUAGUAUUUUUUUACAUAACCCUCUAUGGUUUCAAAAACUGUACAUAUCCCUCUCAUUGUUUGAAUUAAAAUAUCAAAAUGACGGAAAUGAUCAUUCGUAAUACAGUAACCUAAAAUGUCAAAAAUACCCUUAUGUAAAGUUGAAAAUUAUUUAUUAACUAAGGGAGGUUAUGUAUAUAUUUUAAAAACCAUAAAGGGGUUAUAUGGUAAAGUAUUAAACCAUAAGGAAGUUAUAUGAUAAAACAUAAAAUCAUACGAGAUUAGUGUGUCAUGUAUUUAUAAGGGUAAUUUUGACAUUUUUAAAGGUUCCAUUACGAAUGAUCAUUUUCGUCAUUUUGAUACUUUAAUUCAAAUUAUGAUAGGGGUUAUGUAUCUUUUGAAACCAUAUGGGAGUUAUGUAAAAAAAUACUAAACCACAAGUGGGUAAAGUGUAAUUUGCCCUUUUUAAAAUAUGGCUUUAACUUUUAGGGAUAAUUUCAUAAACCUAUCCUGAAGUUUCCAAUAAUUUCACUUGGCUCUCCUGAGGUUUACAUAAUUAUAAGGACCUCCCUUGGUGUAAUAAAAGACAACAAUGUCCUUCAUUAAUUGUCAACUUAUUGAAAAACUUAAUAAAAAAAUUAAAGCUCUUUCAUCUAUUAUCAGUCAAUAAUUCAAACUAUAAUCUUUCCCAUUUAUUUUUUUAUCCUCUUCCUCCUACGUCUAUUUCCUUCCAAACACAUUUAUUUAUUAUUAUUGAUCAAAUGUGUAUUAAUGCUAGUAACAAGGCCAUCAUACAUUCCAGCCACUAGUGCUUACCUAUUUUGAUGUUUAUUCCCAACUCUCUCUUUUUUAUUACUAUUAAAUAGCUUCUUUGCACACAUUUUUGUUUCCAAUUUUUGAUGGAUAUUAGCAAAUUGAAAUUGUCAAAUGAUAGUUGAGUGAUGAUUUCAUUAUAUAACUAGAUGGAGAUGAAGAUAAUGGCAGUAUAAAAAAUAAGGAAUUAAGGAUAAAAAGUGAAAUAUGGACUAAAUAAAGAUUAUACUAUUAUGGUUGUUAUGAAGAAAAAGUGUUUCUCGUAUAUUUACACCUUCAUUGUAUUUCUGUUUUUGAUUUGCAAUUAUUAAUGAUGUUGUUCUUAUAGAAAGAAUUUGAUUGAUUUUGAACUCUAUGCAGAUGGAGUAUAUUGAAUAUUGAUAUUAGUAAUGAUGGUUUAGACUAUUUUAUAUUAGAUAUGUGGCAGCUGUAGAAUUGAAAUUUAGAUAUAUUGAUGAAUAUUGCUUUGUAUUAAGCAAAAUUUGAUAUUGAUAUGAGAUUGUAAGUAAGCUUUUAGGUAUUUGAUGCGGUAUUUUGUAGUUGAUAGGAUUGUUUGCAUUGGACAUUUUUAGGUAAAAUAAGGACAUUAGAACAAAGGUAAGUGUUUACUUAGUCAUGAUUUGGAUAUUGAUAGGGAGACAAUGGUGAUAGCAAGUAACGAUGAAUAAAAUAGAGACGGUGAACCCUUUUUUCCUUUUUUUUUAUUGUGAAUUAUAACUCAAGGGCAUUAUAGGAUUUUUAAGAAAAAGUCUAGCCUUUUGGACUUAAAAUGUUACUUAAACAAUGAAAAUAGAGGAGGUGUGUGUAAUUUUCAAAACUUGAGGGGUGUUUUCUAUAAUUAUUAAAAACCUCAGGGGAGGUAUGUGAAAUUAUCCCUAACUUUUAAGAACUAAUUUUUGGAGAGUAAAGAUAAUUGGAAUAGUUUUAGAAACUUCCCCUGAAGUAUAUGCUAAUAUUACUUGGCCCUCUUGAAGUUUCAAAAACAUCAUUUACCUCUCUAUGUCAGGAGAUGAGACCACUAAUCACUAUUACAACAUACAACUUGAAAAAAAAUUGUCUUCGCCAUUAUUACACUUCUUCAAGCAAACAAAUAGAGAAGAGAAAAAUAAAAAAUGCUAAAAUAAAAUGGCCAUUUUAACAAAUUUUUUUGCACUUAAACCAUCCCAUUUAUUUAAUCUUUCUACACCAACCGUAUAUCAAAUUAUUCGUGCUAUUCUAAUAAUUAUUUAAGCAAAUAAAAUCUAGAAGAAAAUUUUCGACUUGAACACAAUUUUCUACUUGUAUGACGUAAAUAAGCUAAGUUUGAACUAGCUUGAGUUCAAAAAACUCAAAUAUGUUUGAAUAUAUUAUACAACUCUGAAAUUUAAAAAAAAAAAUGAUCAAUUUAAUUUGCCUAUUGAAUGAAAAAAUCUUCACCAAAUAUAAGAAGAUUCCCAAUAUUUAAACAAAAUGAAAUCCUAAACAAUAGAGAUGUGAUGAAUUUACAUAAUUAAUAAGAAAAAUUAGUAAUACUAGCUUGAAUAAAUGUAGAUGAAUUUAAACGAACUAAUUGCCAGUCAAGCCAAGCUCAACUCGUUUAGGAAAUGGGCCUAAAUUGUUGUAUCAAAUUGUUAUGAGCCAUAUACCAUAAAUGACUAUUUAAAAUCAACUUUUCCCUUUUUUUUCUACAUUUUUAUGUCAUGCCCUCCUACGCCUAAAUUGUUGUAUCAAAUUGUUAUGAGCCCUUCAUGCAUAAUUUGGGAGUAAAAUAGUUUAGCAUUUGAUAUGGAUCUUUUUAGAGUUUGGCCGACUUUGUCAAAAUUAUAACUCAAAAUAGGGGAGGCAAGAUAAUAGCUUAAACUUCAGGCUGCAAAAUGAAAUUGUUAGAAACCCCAAGAGAGGUUUUUUUUUUUUUUGGGUUAAAUUAUCCAUUUCGAAAAUUACAUUUAACUUCUUGAAAUUUUAUAUUAUGUGACUUCUGUCUAUAACCUUUCCAUUACAACAUAUGUAUGUCUGUCUAUUCUAUGCACAUACGAGCAAACUGUACACCCAUAUUUACACAUACAGAAACGUGUAAGUAGAUUAUUUUCUCAGUUCCAGCAGGAUUUAAGGCUACAAGGAACCUUAAGGUUCUUGAAUAUGCUCUUUGAGGUUAUUGAAGUAUUACUAAAGAAAUUACUUGUUAUACAACAUCUGGCAAGUUUACAUAUCAUGUUUAAUUUUCCCGAUGAAAAAUGUUGAUUUAGUUGUGAUAAAAUGCUGUUGGAUUGACAUCUUGAACUAUGCGUGUCAUUUCUCCCAUCACAUUAAAACUACUCCUACAAUUUUCCAAAAAGAAAAGGUAAAACUAGAGAAGAUUAGGUACUAAUAGAUAAACUAAUUUGAUCCAAACUGAACAUUCUUUUAUUACUAUUCCAAUUUUGAUUUUCAAUUACAAACCAUAAGUGCCCAAUUCAUUAAGCACUCUGAAGCAUAAUUAAGAAUUGGAAAUCAGAAACGUGUAUCCUUUAAAAUAUAUAUGUAGUUCUUGAACACCAAUGUGUAUCAUGUAAAUUAGGUGAUGCAGCCACCACCAGCACUUCAAGAGGGACAAAUGGUGUCCUUAAGUGCCAAAAGGACUUUGAGCUUAUCUUCAGUUACGAUCACCCUUUCUGUGUAGGCCAAAGAAACCAAAUCAAGAUUGUCAAAUGGCUUAAACAGUAAAGGGUGUUGCUCAUCGACUAGCUCUUCUGGUGGUUCCACUAUCCCUUUCUUGUAGGCGAACAACAAAAUCGAGUAUCUUGGCUCUUCUGAUGCCAUCAUGACUCGAUGAUGAAUGGAAUGUAUCCUGCCAUUGCUCCAUGCCUGUGGAAAGAAAUAUUUGAUCAUAAUCUUUCUUAUCUUGGAAAGGAUUAUUAAUUAAAGAUUAACUUUUUGUGCACCGACGAUGUAGUUAAUUUUUAAACAUACAUCUACACACGUCACUUGUUACAUAAUUACGAGUUGUGGGCUCUCAAGAGACUUUAUUUCUACGCAUACCAUUACAAAAUAUUUGCAGCACAAUUGCGUGUAACAAGUAGAUGAGAACCAAAGGAUAAAUGUCAUAAAGUUAAACUUAGAUCAUCCAUUGAAAACUUUACAGUAAUUCAACUUGGCAAUUCAAGGUAAGGAUAGAAUAUAUGAUGGAAUUCCGUAAUCUCAACUGUUAAUUCUACGGUUUCCAUGGAGUACUUUUCUUCAUUUGAUAGUAGGUGGUGUUGCAUAAACACUAUGUAAUUAGACUCUUGUAAUCUUUAAUUGGCUAAUAUUCCUCCCAUUAUUUGGUUUUGCAUUGUGUGAAAGUCAGGGAAGUAGCAAGAAACCAUUUCACUGCUUUUGGAUCUUCAAAAUUCAAGACUCAAUAUUUUACACUUGUCAUAUUUGAUUUUUUUAACCACUGAAUUCCCUCCAAAUUUCAGAUCUCGAGAUUAUAUUUACUGUCUAUUUUUAGUCACUCAGACAUUUUCAAAAGAGUAACAUUUUUCAUAUAGACAGUGUAAGGAAUGUCAUUCAGCAUAUAAGGAUCCUGUUAGCGAGCGAAAUUGGGCAGUUGCGCCACAUUUAUAGAGAGGCCAAUGCGGUUGCUGAUGCUCUGGCGGGCCUCUCGGGUAGGGGUCAAGGAAUGUUCGACUCCUUGACCAAAUUGCCUCAACAUAUUCAAGUAUUGGUUAACUUGGACAAUACCAUCUAUGCAGGAAUUCGACGUGUGCAUGUAAGGGAGUAGUACUCUCAAUUUUCAACUUUCCUCAGUUAAAAAAAAAAAAAGUCAAACGAAUUAUCUACUUAGAUACACUCUCUCAUGUAAGGAAAAUACUCAUCAAGUAAUUUUGCAUUAGGAAAAUACUCAUCGAUGAAAGAAAUGGCCUACCAUCAAUGCAUCACCAGCAACAACAGCGAAGGACGAGGGAGGAAAAUCAACUGGAAUCCAACUUCCAUCAUUGGACCUGACCUCCAAACCAUUGACUUGAUUUUGAUGAAGUAUGGUCAUGAAACUCAAGUCUGUAUGCAUGGGCAACCAAACCUACAUAUUUCUCAGUGAACUUGGUUGCUGCUCUGUACUUGUUGACUCGACACACAUAAGCUAUUGAUUCUCUGAAAGAUUCAUAGUAUUUCUCAACCCCAUAGCUUUCAAAUACCAUUCUGAUUAUCACCUCAUGCAGUUCUGCCACUUGCUUUGAGUAGGAUUGCAUGAUUUCACUGAUCAUUAAGCUCAAUAAACAAAAUAGAAAAGAGGAAAAAAGGAACAAUUACAAUCAUAUUUACUUAUACAUGAGAAGGAUCAAAACUGCAGGGUUAUAUCUAUAACAUUUCUGAUAACCAAUUUUUCUUAGUGUAAUAAAAGAAUUAGUUUCUGACAAGCUUUUGUUACUGUAGAAAAAGAUUUGUGUAAGGAUUGCUCAAUAGGCAUUGGCCAAGAAGGGCCUAAGGUGUCUGUGUUUCCAAAAGUGAAAUUCAAUCCACCAAAUUCAUAUAUGCAAAGGGACGAGAAAUGUAAAUAUGUGCAUCUAAAUGGUGAAUUGAGCCGUAAUUUAAGUCACCUAUUUGGUUUGGAGGUUGGUUCUCUCCCUCCAACCCCCAAAUGAAAAGUUAUGAAUGAUUCUACUUUCAUAAAUUGUUUUAUCUCGAAAAGUUAAUGAAUUAGUUGUGUAGUAAAAGCUAAACAUGCUAAAAUCAGCAUAUAGGAAUAUUUUUGUGGUAUAUUGGUAAAUAGUGUAAAAUGUGGAUCUUAUAGUCAAAAUUGAAUACCCAAUUAGCAAGAAAAGUCCGUCUUCUGUGGUGAACAGCGGUCCCUAUAGUUUUGACUUUUGCAGAAGCUUAGCCAAAAAAACAACUUUAUCCCAUUUAGAUUGCUAUUUUUAGGAGUUUUGUUAAAAAAACAUACUGUAACAAUUUGAUAUAUAUAAAAUAAAAAAAUAACUGAAAAAUGUGUUUAAAAAACGUAAAAUUUUUCUACAAAAAAUCACGAUCCAAACAAGGUUCUUAGAAUAACGAUUUUUCUUCAAAGUUGAUUAAAAAAAAACUCAGCUAUGAACAGGAAAGGCUUAAGAAAAGGCCUCAAAUGUGUUAUACAAAAGCAAAUAAAAAAGCUGGGAUUUCCCCAUAUCACCUGCUUUUUUAAGCUGGGAUUUCCCCAUAUCACCUGCUUUUUUUGGAGCAGCAAGUUCCGUUCUGGUCAUGAAUCUUUUGAGUCAAUUUUAAGGAAUUGGUUAGGAGUGGCAAUAGGAUCAAAAACGGAUUGACAGGUCGAGGCAAAACUCAGAUAUAACAGGAGACCUACUGAUUCGAACACAACUUGCCAACCUGCGUGGGUCAACAUGUCUGACCUGAACACAAAAUUUUCAGAUUGGCAAGUCCGCCGAAUGAUCCGAAAUAUAAUUCCAAUUUACUAAUCUACUGCUAUAAUUUCUAACAAAACUAAUUCCACACAAGACUACUUACAUAAUCAAAUAAUAAAGACCAUAAUAAAACAAUCCCAAGUUAGAUCUAAAGUAAAUUAAGACACCUUAAGAGUAGAAAAUAAUGUAACACUUCAUCUAUCCAAAAAUAACAACUCCAACUUCACACAAGUCAAACAAAUUCAAUUAGAACAAUCCAAACAAAAGGUAGCUAGCCAAAUACAAGUUUAAAGUCAAUUCUUACAAUCCACAUGAAACAGAUAAAAAAACCUAUUUAGAUAAUUUUUUUAUAUGUUUAUUAACUUAUUUUUAUUUCCUAAACGAGAUAAUGGGUCAACCCAUUUCUGACCUGAAUUUGACUUGUUUUCUUUUUAGGUUCAUCGGACCACCUCUAGAGUCGGCUGAUAUAUAUAUAUAUAUAUAUAUAUAUAUAUAUAUAUAUAUAUAUAUAUAUAUAUAUAUAUAUAUAGUACAUAUAAGUAAAAUAACUAGAUCAUGAUCAAGGACAAAUGCUAACCUGACAUAAUCCUUCCUUCCGGAGGAGCAAAAGAGAUUAAUGAAGCCAUCAAAGGCUUCCUCACUAGUUGGAUCUUCAAUAGAAGUAGUUUCAAACGAGGGAAAUUCAUCAGCAGCUUUCCCCAAAUAACCCGAAUAAGGUUUAUCUGAAGUGAACUGACAUUUUUUCUCCGUGGGGAGACCAUAGAACUCCUUUUACUGCUUGGUAAAAACCAUUCUUGACUUCUGAAGAAAUUUUGUCAUGAGUUACAAGAAAAAUCCCAUGAUUCUCAAGUGAACACUUCACUUGCUUGCUUGUGGAGAUCCAAAUACUGGUCCCAGGUUUCAAGUUUUCACUGCUAAAAUUAUGAGAGGCGGAUUUGAUGGAGCUAAUUGGGAGUCCAUGACUAUGUUGUUGAGCUCUGGAAUAAAAAAAACUCGGUUGUAACAGAUUUAAAGCUACAAAGAAGCUCAAGAUUGGUGGAUAGGUUCUUCAACGUACAAGAAUGGGAAGGAAGAUGCCGGCCUUAAAAUGAUCAGGAGCAGGUCAACAUUUAGCCAGUUCGCUUUUGCUGCCAAACAGAACAAGCCAAGAGAAAAAUAAGUAAAUUGUUCGAGUGUAGCUAAAAAAUUCUUGCAGAGUAUACAAGUGACAAGUCACACUAUCAUAUGGAGUAUUAACUAGUACUAAAUAAUUUCAUUUAUUAAAAGGUUAAAAUAGAUAUUCUUGUCUAACGAGUCAUUUGUAUUUACAGUAAUAUUCAAAUUUAUGAAGUUGGUUAAGCAUCAACAUCAUAAUUGUUAGGGUAAAUUAUCAAUAAUAUCAUGAGAUUUUGCAUAUUAAUACAUGACGUCUCUAACGUUUCAAAAUAUUUACACAAUUCCUCUCUUAUUUAAAGCAAAAUGAACCAGUGAUGAAAAGUACUUCCGGUUAUGGCAAUUAUCCAAAUGCACUCCAAAAAUAUAUUUGGAUUCGCUGACUUCUUCAAAUUAAAACUCAUUUGACGCUUAGUUUUAUUCAUUUUUGCUUUUGCAUUUUCAAACCCUUUUUUGAAGUCAAAUGUGUUAUUCUAGUUUCUUUGAGCCUAAAUGUUUCCAAGCAUCAAGACUAACAUAUUUAUUUCUCUUCACCCCUGCCAAAAAUAAUUUUUGACGUUAAAAUUUUCCCUUUUUUCUACUAUUUCAAGUCAUACCCUUUUCAAUUUAAAUUGUUAUAUCACUUUUUUUCAUGAGCUAUUCAAGGAUAAUUUAGCAAUAAAAAUUGCUUUCAGCAUUUUAUAUAGAUACUUCAAUUUACUAACUUUUUAAAAUUUAAACUCGAAAUUGGGGAGACAGUAUAAUAUUAUAAACUUCAGGGCUAGCAAAACCUCAAAUGUUGAAAUGAUCCCUUUUUAAAAUUACAUUUGCCUUCUUCAAAUUUCACAUCAUGUGACUUAGUCUAUAACCUUUCCAACAACAUUGAUUUCUCUUAAACUUUCAAGUUGGACCAUUACUCUUUGUGUGUGUUUGUGUGUGUGUGUGUUAGUAAAUUAUUGUACAUAAGCAUGGACGUAUAAAAUUGUACCUUAAACAGUCUUCUUCCCAGAGGACAAAAGAGAUUUGUGAAACCUUCUGCAGCUUGUAUACUAGUUGGAUCUCCAAUGGCUGUAAGUUCAAGAAUAGGAAGUUGAUCAUCACGACUGGCUUUUCUUCUCUUUGGGGAGCUCAUAAAACUCCUUUAUUGCUAGGCAAAAAUCAUCCUUGACUGCUGAAGAAAUUUUGUCAUAAAUUGCCAGAAAAAACCCAUGAUUGUCAAGUGCAUUCUUCACUUGCUAGCUUGUAGAUAGCCAAAUACUUGUGCCAAAAAAAAAAAAAAAACUUUGUGCCAGGAUUUAAGUUUUCACUGCUAAGACCUACGUGAGGAAAAGAUUUGAUGGAGUUUGGGAGUCCAUCACUUUGACCUUGAGCCUUGCAUCUCAGUUGUAGCAUGAAGGCUACAAUGAACCUCAAAGUUAUUGAAGUAUUGAUAAAGUAUAUACUUGUUAAAUAGAUUAAUUUUUCCAAUGAAAAAAGUUGAAUUAGUUAUGUUGUCACCAACUGAAUAAAAUGCUGCAGGACAUUUUGAACUAUGUUCGUAUGCUCCCAUCAAAUUAAAACUGCAUUUUCCCCAAAAAGAAAAGGAAGAGAUUGAAAUGAUCCCCAUUCCACACAACUAGACAACAGUACGUACUAACAGAAAUACUAAUUUGAUUCAAACCAUUAGAACUGAACAAUCUUUUACUACUAUUACAAUUUCGAUCCUCAAUUAAAAAACACUUUAAGAUCGACAAAUGGUUUCCUUAAUUGCCACACAGGACUAUGAGUUUAUCUUCAAUUACGUUCCGUUCAACCUUUUUGUGAAGACCACAGAAGCCAACUCAAAAUGAUCAAAUGGCUUAAACAAUAAAGGAUGUUGCUCAUCAACUAGCUGUUUUGGUGCUUCCACUAUCCCUUUCUUGUAGGAAAACUGUUGGAUCCUUAAUUUGACGUUGGAUUUAUAUGUGAAUAAUUAUGUUGCAGACAGUCAAAUAAGUUUAAAUUCAAUUAAAGUGAUCAAUUAUAGUUUAGCUUUAUUGUAUCCAAUAGGAUGUGGGACUUUAAUGUAUAGAAACUUAAGGAUAAUUUCUAUUUUUAUGAUGAGAUGAAAUAAGAAUCCAAAAGAUAAUAUGAAAGUUGUCUAUAAAUAGAGUUAUGAUCACCGAAUCAUACGUAUUUUUAUUUUUGUAUUUUUUUUUAGUAUCACAAAAUACUUCUUCUCAUCGUCAGAAAUAUACCAGAUCGUCAUCCCAAGAGCUCUCUCAAGGGAUUAGCGGAUAAGUGUUGACUUGGAAGGCCAUCCCAAAAUCUCGAAGAAUUCAAGUACCAGUUAGUCAACAUGAAUCCAGGUUGAAUCCAUGUAUGCUUCUGCAAUUUUACUGUUAAUUUAUUUCUUAAUAAUCACUAUAAAGAUUUUAGAUUCAAUAGGUGAUGGUUUUCACCAAAAGUCAAUAUAAACAACCACUAACAAAAACAAUCCAAUCCACUGCCUUGUCUCUUCUGAUGACAUUAUUGUUAGUUUGUUACUCGAUGAACACUACAACUUAUCCGGCCAUUGCUCCGCGCCUGUGGAAAGAAUUAUGACAUUAUCUUUCUUAUCUUAGAAAGAGUAUAACAUUCAUCCACACCCAUAAACUCCGGUCUCUGGCUAGUACCUUCAAACGGAGAAAGAGCACCGACAGUCCCAAAUCAAGUUUGAUGUCGUCUACGGCUCAAUCUUCUCAUAAAAGGUUAUUAGGCAGCAAGGUGAAACGUCCUGAAAAUUUUUCCCUCUCUGAUGAUGUUGAUAUGGAGGAUGUUUCUCUUUCCAAGAAAUCUAAGACAGCUGUUCAACCGCAUCACACGGUAUAUCAAUUGCAGAGGCUGGUCACCAGCCCCGCCAAGAAUCAAGAGUCUUUUAAGUUGGAACUGUCGGGGGUUGAAAAACCUCCGCACAGUUCAUGAACUCCGGAGUUUUAUUCGGAGGGAAAGACUUUCAAUUAUUUUUUUGAUAGAAACUAAGUGUUCUAGUAGAUUUGUGGAGAAAUUGAAGCAGCAAAUUGGAUGGUUUGGUAUUGGUGUGGAUGCGCAGGGCACUUCUGGUGGGUUAGCUCUCCUGUGGAAAAAAGAUCUUGACAUAUCAUUGAACCGCUUUGCAAGUAAUUUUAUUGAUGCCAAUGUUCAUAUGCCAAAUUACACAUGGCGUUUCACUGGCUUCUAUGGACAUCCUGAUGCUUCAAAGCGAAAAUAUUCCUAGGAUUCUCUCCGACAACUAAGCACACAAUCUCGGCUCCCCUGGCUUUGUAUUGGUGAUUAUAAUGAAGUCCUUAGCCAAAACGAAUUUCAAGGUUCUGGUCCACGAAAUAACUGGCAAAUCAUGAAUUUUCGUCAGGCCUUAAUGGAUAGUAAUCUGCAUGAUGUGGGCUAUCAAGGUUUCACUUAUACAUGGUGCCAUAGUCGGACAUAUCGAAAUACGAUUAGAGCGAGACUUGAUCGCGCUUGUGCAACUCAAGAUUUUGUGGACUUAUUCCCUGAUUCAAAACUCAAGCAUGUGCACUCUAUAUUCUCUGAUCAUUUGCCUCUAGUUUUUAGCUUUGAGAAUUUCAUUAAAUCUUCUAAGACUACAAAUGAGGUGAAGAAAUUUAAACAUUUUAUGGUCGAAGCCAUGUGGAUAAAGGCGGAUGAUUGUGAAAACGUAAUUCGACAAUCUUGGGAAAGUACAUCUGCGGAUAAUGCUUGUGUUAAUUUGUUAAAGAAAACUGAUGAAUGUCGAAUGGGUCUUUUACAAUGGAGCAAAUCAAAAUUUGGUAAUGUUUGUUCUGUAGCAGACGACCUAAGGAAAAAGAUUGCUAAGCUGCAGCAAGGGACUCUCUCUGAUGCUGUUAAGUCUGAAAUUGGGACUUUAACAAAUCAAUUAGAGGAUAUUUUGGAUCGGGAAAAUACUAUGUGGAAGCAAAGGAGCAAAACUCAUUGGUAUCGAGAGGGGGAUCGGAAUACAACUUUCUUCCAUGCACAGGCAUCCAAACGACGGAAACAAAAUCAGAUAAAUGGCCUUUUCAAUGAUGCGAGGCAGUGGUGCAACUCCCAUGAUGAUCUGGAGAACAUUAUCUUAGACCAUUUUGGAUCCAUUUUUUCCAGUUCAAAGCCAUCUCCUGAGAUAAUUGAUGCGGUUUUGCAAAGGGUGCAACCUAAGGUAUCUAAACGAAUGAAUGAUCCACUGAUGCGAACUUACUCAGCUUUUGAGGUAACACAAGCUUUAAACCAAAUGCAUCAUUUUAAAUCUCCCGGUCCUGAUGGCAUGUCCCCAAUAUUUUAUCAGAAAUUUUGGCAUGUUGUUAGUCAGGAUGUAGUGAAAUGUGUUCUUGAAUUCCUGAACAAUGGGCAUUUUGAUGAUCAAUUGAAUUUCACUUACAUUGUGCUUAUCCCAAAAUGCCAAUGUCCAUCCAAUAUAACUCAAUUUCAUCCAAUUAGUUUAUGUAAUGUAGUUUAUAGAUUAGCUUCUAAGGUUAUAGCUAAUAGAUUAAAGAAAGUUCUUUCAAUAAAUCUCUCGCCCUUUCAGUUUGCUUUUAUUCCUGGUCGUCUCAUUACAUAUAAUAUCCUGAUCAUUUACGAAGUUAACCACUCUCUUAAAUCAAAGUCUGCAGGCAAAGAGGGAUCCAUGUCCAUUAAAUUGGACAUGAGCAAAGCGUUUGAUAGGGUUGAGUGGCCUUUUCUUAAAGGAAUGAUAUUGGCUUUAGGUUUUCAUCCAUCUUUUGUUGAUCUUAUUUCCAGUUGUUUCUCUACUGUUUUGUAUUCUUUUCAGCUAAAUGGUGUUCAAUUUGGUUAUCUACGACCACAGCAGGGCAUUAGACAAGGUGAUCCAAUUUCUCCGUAUUUAUUUCUCACAUGUGCAGAGGCUUUUUCCUGUCUAUUACAAAAAGCAGAGGCUUGUGGUAAAUUGUCAGGAGUUUGAAUAGGUCAGAGUGGCCCCAAGCUUUCUCAUUUAUUAUUUGCAGACGAUACUUUGUUAUUUGGCAAAACGACCUUACAAGAAGCUCAACAUAUUCAGGAUAUCUUGCAACUAUAUAAGGAAGCUUCUGGGCAAGAGAUCAAUCUUGAGAAAUCAGCUGUGGUUUUCAGUAGUAACACAGAUUUCUCAACCCGACAAGAUAUCACUCGGUUCCUGAAUAUUAAAGAAGUGGUUGCACAUGAAAAAUAUCUUGGUCUUCCCACCAUUAUUGGACGCUCCAAAUGUGAGGUAUUCUCUUCUAUCAAGGAUAGAAUUUGGCAACGAAUUCAAGGAUGGAAUGAACAACGGUUAUCAAAAGGGGGAAAGGAAAUUUUGCUGAAAGCAGUGGUUCAGGCAAUUCCCACAUAUUCGAUGUCUUGUUUCAAAUUUCCAGAUUCUUUGCUAAUGGAUAUCCAAUCAAUGAUGAGCAAUUUUUGGUGGGGUGAUGGAAAUAAGGCUAGACCAAUUCAUUGGGUUAGUUGGGAUAAACUUUGCAGCCGAAAAGAAGAUGGAGGAAUGGGUUUUAGGCAGCUUAAGACUUUUAAUCUUGCAUUGUUAUCUAAGCAAGCAUGCGUAUUGCUACACAACCAUCUAGCCUUCUUCAUCGGGUAUAUAAAGCUAAAUAUUUUCCCAAUACUGAUUUCUUCCAAGCUCAAGAAGGAUCACGGCCUUCCUGGUCUUGGCGCAGACUAUGUGAGGUCAGGAAGUAUAUAGAAGUAGGAAGUAGAUGGCGAGUUGGUUCUGGCCAGUCUAUCAAAAUCUGGAAAGAUAGGUGGCUUCCACGGCCAUUUACUUUUAAAAUCGUGUCGCAGUCUACUGCAUUGCCGGAGAAUUCCACAGUUGAUUGCCUAAUAGACUACGAGCGAAAGACUUGGCGAGUUGACUUAUUGCAGGAAAUUUUUUGGCCUGAGGAGAUUGAAUUAAUUCAAAGCAUUCCAAUUGGAGACACUCAUAAUAGGGAUAAGCUAAUCUGGCACUUUUCAAAGAAUGGAUAUUUUACUGUGAAGAGUGCGUAUCACUUGAUCAAGCAACGAGCUUCUAAUUGGCAAAAUUUGCCAUCAAGUAGUAGUACUCUAAAGCAAAAUGUUUUGUCUCGGCUUUGGCACUUGAAUCUUCCUGAGAAAAUUAAAAUUUUCUUAUGGAGGGCAUGUAAAGAUAUACUGCCAACCAGCAUAAAACUCAAUACUAAAGGGCUCCAUUUAGAUACCUCUUGCCCUUUAUGUCUUGCUCCAGUUGAUGAUAUUGAUCAUACCUUCUUAACUUGUCCUGUAACUGUGCAAUCGUGGGCGCUUAGUUCCUUAACCCAGAAAGUUCAACUGCAAUCGGCUGAUCAUAUAACAUCCUGGCUUCCCAACCAGCUUUUGCGACUAUCAAGCAAAGAGAUGGAAUUGGUGGGUGUUAUUCUUUGGAAUUUAUGGAAUAAUCGGAAUGGAGCAAUCUUUGAUGGGCCCUACAGAGAUCCUCUUAGCUUGGUCUCUGAGGAUGCUCACCUCGGCCAUCCUGCGUGUCCGAGGUGAACUCACCUCGGCCAUCCUGCGUGUCCGAGGUGAACUCACCUCGUCCCUUAUCAGAGCUCAUCCGUAUCUUGGGCAUAACCCCUGAGCUCGGCCACUUCCCUAGCCUACCGUGUAGGUGACCUCGGCGCCACCCACUUCGGCCGCACGCUGAUGAGGUCACGGCCCUGACAUCACCCAGGUCCAGUGCUUUAUCUGAAAAGCACUGGAGAUUCUUAAUGGAACCUGCUCAAUACUCUCCGUCAUCACACUCAGGCGGCUACAGUGUCAGAGUCAGGCCUCCUGACACGGGACAGAGCCGUAAUGACCAGAGAAUGGGUCCCACCAGCAUGAGCUCUCCGCUCUGUCCUCUACCCUCCUAUAAAUACCCCACAUACACUCCUAGCAAGUAAGCAUACACUGUUCAUUUGCUCAUACUCUAGCAUUUUCUCGUUCUCAUACUAACUUAAUCGUCGGAGUGAUACCAGGGGAGAAGCCCCGCCAUUCACUUCGGACAAGAAGGUCGACUUCGGACACGAGGAUACCCCUCACUUCAUCUCAGAGAGGUCUGAUUUAGGUCGGUCCAUCUAUCCACCAAAAAUCACCUCUUCAAUUGGCGCCGUCUGUGGGAACAAGAUUACUGCUAAAAUGAGAUCCACGCGCUCCAGAAGCGGAAGAGUUCCCUCAACUGGGGCUGGGCAGACAUCCGGAGCCCAGCAAGAUCGUAUCUCUGAGGAACAUGGGUCCCAAAGGACCCAGCCCAACAAUAAAGAGGCCAUCGCCAAGAUGGCCGAGUUUGUCACGGACAACCCCAACAUCUUUGAGGAACUAGGAAGGUACCUCAAGAGGCAGGGAAAAGAAAAAGCCGAGUCUUCCAAGAGGAGACCGACGAAGUCCCCUGAUGUGCCCUCAGGCGAGGACUCCGAAGAUGGGCGUCUAUCUCGGAGCACCUCCAGGCGAGCCUCAUCCAAGGCAACCUCCAAGAUUGCCUCCAUCUCCCGAGCGUUUUCUCGGGGACUACUGGGAAAACGAGCCGAGGACCCACCUCGGCGUCCCGGAGGCCUAGCUUCUGAUUACAUGAGGGCUCCGCCCUUCACUGAUGACAUCAAUGGGGAAAUGGUGCCCCCAAACUUUAAGCUUCCAAACUUGCACACCUAUGACGGCCGAGGUGACCCCGAGGAUCACCUCCGCGCCUUCAUCUCCGCAUUCCGACUCUACUGCGUCCCCGACGCCGUGAUCUGUCGGGCUUUCCCCAUCUUCCUACACGGGACCGCCCGGAAGUGGUUCUGGAGUUUAGAACCAGGGAGCAUUUCCUCCCUGGAUGAGCUGAUAGACCGGUUCAUCCACCGCUUCGUGUCGUCUCGACCAAUAACAAAGACUUCAGCUUACCUCUUGAACCUGCAACAGGGUCAGGGCGAGUCACUUCGCUCAUACGCCCAAAGGUUCAAUGAGGAGAAUGUACAGAUAGCUGACCAGAACGAGCAGGUAACUAUCGCUGCCUUCACCAACGGGUUAGUGGCAGGGAUCUUCAACACAGAAAUCCAUCGGCAAUACCCCCGUACACUACGGGAGCUCUGGGAAAGAGUGGACCAGGGAAUCCGAAGUGAAGAUGUAAAUCGCAUGAAGCGAGAAGCCCAAGCAUCUCGUACGGGGCAAGAUCCCCGGAGGAGGAAAGACACUGGCCGAGGUGAACCAGGCCCAAGUGGCACUUCAAACCAACCCCGAGACCGCCGAAGUGUCUUCGACCGGAUCGUGAAAGGCAGAUCGUCCACCUCGGACGCCGAGCUGACGCCCCUCAAUUCGAGCCGGACCCACGUCCUGGCUGUGAUGAGGCAGAAUCAGAUCGGCCGCAACCCUCCCGAAAUUCCGGGGAGGAGAGAUAAGAGGAACUCGAACCUCUACUGUGCCUACCACCGUGAUGUAGGGCACGAGACUGAAGACUGCAAUGACCUGAAGCGGGAAAUCGAAAAUUUGAUCCGGCAGGGAUACCUGAAGCAAUUCGUCCGCAAGGAUGGAGGCUUCAACCGAAGCGUCUCCCACCGGGAGAACCGAGGCCCCCGCCGAGACGACCGACGGGACACGAACAUGCAUUGCCGAGGUCCCGAAGACCGUAGGGAGGACAAGCAGCCCCCACGCGAUGGCUCACCGGGCUACGGCCCCAACAUCGCCGGGGUGAUCAACACCAUCGCGGGAGGACCAACGGGAGGAGACAGCCAGAACUCCCGGAAGCGGACCUACCGCCAGGCCGAGAUGGAGGUGGCCGAGCCGAGCUCUCGGCUGUCCGAGGUCAUCACCUACGGUCCCGCUGACCCCGUUCCUGCGGCCUCCAGCAAUCAUGAAGCUCUUGUGAUUGAAGUCCUCACCAACAACUACGUAGUCAAAAAGGUCUACGUAGACCCCGGAAGCUCGGUAGACGUCUUGUACUACCGGACUUUCGAAAGUUUGAAACUGACCAGGGAGCAACUCACUCCUGUCAGGACUCCCCUCGUGGGAUUCGGGGGACACGUCGUCCACCCGGAAGGCAUGUUGACCCUAGUGGUAACAAUCGGGCGUCAUCCACGCUGCCGAACUGUGCCUGUCAGUUUUGCGGUGGUCAAAGCAGACUCCCCCUACAAUAUGCUGAUAGGCCGGCCCACACUCAAUGCCUUGAGAGCCGUAUACUCCACCUACCACCUGAGCUUUAAAUUCCCAACAUCUGCGGGGGUGGCCGAGGUAAGCAGCGAUGUGGGCGCCGCCCGGGAAUGCUACCUCGCCACCAUUCAAGCAGCAGUCACCCCCCGGCCCUCACCGAGGUCAGAAGAAAAGAGGCCAGCGGUCCUCUCCAUAGACUGCAUCGACCCUCAGAAGGCAGAAGAGCCCAACAGGCUGGAGCCCGGGGAUGAGGUGGAACUGGUGGUAGUGGAUGAAGCGAAACCUGACCAAGUGGUCCAAGUAGGGGCUGGACUACCCUCACCCCUGAAAGAAGAAAUGAUCUCCCUGAUCAAAGACCACCGAGACGUCUUCGCGUGGUCCGCGGAUGAAGUGGUCGGAGUGCCACCCGAGCUCAUGACUCACCAACUCAACGUUGACCCACAGGCCCGACCUGUGCGACAGAAACGAAGGCACUUCGGCCCCGAACGUAGUCAGGCCAUAUCGGAUGAGGUCGACAAGCUCUUGCCGGCCAAGAUGAUCCACGAAGUCCAAUAUCCCGCCUGGCUGUCCAAUCCAGUCAUGAUCAAAAAGGACACCGGUGGAUGGAGAAUGUGUGUCGACUUCACCGACCUCAACAAGGCCUGCCCCAAAGAUUGCUAUCAUCUGCCGAGAAUAGACGCCCUCGUCGACGCGGCGAUGGGGUAUGAAAUCCUCUGCUUCCUAGAUGCCUUCAAAGGGUACCACAAAAUAGGAAUGAGUGAGGAGGACCAAGAAAAAACGGCGUUCUACACCGACCGAGGUACUUAUUGUUACACUACCAUGCCCUUCGGGCUAAAGAACGCCGGGGCGACCUACCAAAGGCUGAUCAACCGACUCUUCCAGAAUCAGAUCGGCCGCAAUGUGGAGGCCUAUGUGGAUGACAUCCUCGUUAAAAGCCUCGCCACUUCAUCCUUUCUGUCAGACGUGAGGGAAGUCUUUGGUGUCCUGCGAGACUCGAGGAUGAAGCUGAAUCCCAAGAAGUGCGUCUUCGGCGUCACCUCGGGAAAAUUCUUGGGGUAUCUGGUUUCCUACCGGGGAAUCGAGGCCAACCCCGACAAGGUGAAGGCCAUUCAGGACAUGUCCCCACCUCGGAACAUCCGAGAAGUCCAACGGCUGAAUGGACGCCUGGCCGCGCUGAAUCGCUUCCUGUCCCAAUCAGCCGAGAAAGCUCUGCCUUUCUUUAAGGUGCUGAAAAAUGCUGACCAGUUCGCCUGGACUGAGGAGUGUCAGGCUGCUUUCGACCAGCUGAAGCAGUACUUGCAUCACCUACCAACUCUCGCUUCACCUCGGCCCGAGGAGAAGCUCUACCUCUACCUCUCCGAAGCCGACGAGGCUGUCAGCGCUGUGCUCAUCCGAGAUGAGGGCACCCAAGUGCCGGUCUACUACGUCAGCCGAGCCCUCCGCGGGCCGGAAACCCGAUACACGCAAGUGGAAAAACUUGUGCUGGGGCUCGUCCAUGCAGCUCGGCGGUUGAAACCCUACUUCUUAGCCCAUCCCAUCUCGGUCAGGACCGACCAGCCCAUUCGGCAAAUAUUGGUGCGACCCAAAGCUUCUGGUCGCCUCACCAAGUGGGCUGUCGAAUUGGGAGAAUAUGACUUGUCCUACGAGCCACGCACCGCCAUAAAAGCUCAAGCUUUAGCUGACUUCCUUGCUGAGCUCACCUUCACGGAAGGUCCGGAGUCCACUUCAGCCUUACCCGAGGUGUCCACCUCAUCCCUGUGGACAUUGUAUGUCGAUGGAUCCUCUAAUGGAGACGGCUGCGGAGCUGGACUGCUCCUGGAAGGACCUCAGGGGGAGGUUUGCUCUUACGCCCUCCGCUUUGACUUCCCGGCCACCAACAAUGAAGCCGAGUACGAGGCUCUAAUCGCUGGACUCCAGCUAGCCCGCAACCUCGGCGCCCAGCAAAUCCACGUCCGCAGUGACUCCCAGCUCGUGGUACGCCAAGUUAUUGGUGAGUACGAGGCCAAGGAUGAGACCAUGCAACGGUACCUCUCCAAAGUUCACCAACUCACCGCGUACUUCAAGUCAUUCGACAUCCAAAGGAUCCCUCGGUCCCAGAAUAAGCGAGCCGACGCCUUAUCCCGGCUGGCUUCCACUUCAUUCUCUGACCUCAACAAAACCGUCUUGGUGGAGGUCCUGAGUGAACCAGGGUACGUGGAAGAGGUGGCCUGCCCCGUGCACUCUGAAGAAACUUGGAUGACCCCGUUCAUCCUUUUCUUGGGUCAAGGAGUCCUUCCCGAAGACCGAGCUGAAGCAAGGAAGAUACAACGCAAAGCCGCUCGGUAUGCACUCCGCGAUGGAGAACUAUAUAAGCGCUCCUACCUCGGCUCAUGGUUGAGGUGUCACCCCCGAGGCAGGACGCGAGGUCCUCCACGAGAUCUACGAGGGCCUAUGUGGGGCUCACAUCGGCCACAGGAUGCUAGCUAAGAAAGCUAUGCUCCUGGGAUAUUUCUGGCCAUCACUUCGGCAAGACUCCCAGGACCUCGUUCUCGGCUGCCCUUCCUGCCAAGUCCACGCACCCGAGCGCCACCAGCCUUCAAACUUCAUGGUCCCCAUCACAUCACCCUGGCCGUUUGAGCAAUGGGGGACAGACAUCAUAGGUCCCUUCCCCAAAGCCGUCGGGGGUUACACAUUCUUAGUAACCGCUGUGGAUUAUUUCACCAAGUGGGUCGAGGCCGAGCCACUUCGGACCAUCUCAGGGCUGGCCAUUCAAAAAUUCUUUUGGAAGUGCAUUAUCUGCCGCUUCGGCAUACCGCGGGUCAUCAUCUCGGACAAUGGGAGACAGUUUGCCGAGAACCCGUUCAAGACUUGGUGCGAGAACCUCGGCAUCAAACAACACUUCACUUCGGUAUGCCACCCCCAGGCCAAUGGUCAAGCAGAAAACUUCAACCGGACUCUUCUACAUGGUCUCAGGACCCGACUACACCGCGCUGGGUCAUCUUGGGUGGAGGAACUCCCCAGUGUCCUGUGGUCGUAUCGGACCACGCCGAGGUCAGCGACGCAAGAGACCCCAUUCUCCCUGACCUACGGCGCCGAGGCGGUCAUCCCGGCUGAGAUCCUUACCCCCAGCCCUCGGCUGGCAGCCUAUGCCGCCGAGGUGAACGACGAAGAGAGGCAGCUGGACCUCGACCUCGUCGAAGAACGAAGGAAUCUCGCCUCAGCCCGGAUAGCUUCUUACAAGAACACACUGGCACACUACUACAAUGCCCGCGUGAGACAUCGUAGAUUCCAACCUGGAGACUUGGUUCUUAGAAAAAACUCAGUCAGCGGAGCUGAACCGCAAGGGAAAUUAUGCCCGAAAUGGGAAGGCCCUUACCGAGUUGUGGAAUCUGACGCUAAGGGGUAUUGUAAACUGAGUUACCGAGAUGGCUCAUUAGUGCCGAGGUCUUGGCACGCCGAGAACCUCAGAUUGUAUUACGCCUGAAUUUUUAAUCAAGUAAUGACUUCAGCUAUCAUGUUAUUCUUCAAUAUCGUUGUUACGCUAUUAAAAAAUAAGGGGGACAAGCAAGGGAUGAAGUCAAAGUAAGAAAUUAAAGCACUGAGACGAGAAGAAAUAUGCUUUCAUUCAAUAAGAAAGAGCGUUACAAAAGUACAAGGCCGAGGUCCGAAUGCUACUAAGCACUCUCCACCUCGGCCACCCCCUUAAAACCGCGAGCCUAGACCCCCGUCUCGGCUCCAUCCCCGGUCUUGGCUCCCUCCUGGGCAUCCUUCUCUUCGGCCUCUUUUCCGCCGGGGUGAACUUCAUCUCCAUGCUCUUUGCCGACGUCCCCUUCGGCUUCGUCAAAGCAAGAAAUUAAAGCACUGAGACGAGAAGAAAUAUGCUUUCAUUCAAUAAGAAGGAGCGUUACAAAAGUACAAGGCCGAGGUCCGAAUGCUACUAAGCACUCUCCACCUCGGCCACCCCCUUAAAACCGCGAGCCUAGACCCCCGUCUCGGCUCCAUCCCCGGUCUUGGCUCCCUCCUGGGCAUCCUUCUCUUCGGCCUCUUUUCCGCCGGGGUGAACUUCAUCUCCAUGCUCUUUGCCGACGUCCCCUUCGGCUUCGUCUCCCUCAGCGUCCUCUCCUCCAGCUUCUUCCACUUCCACGUCCUCGAACAUUUCGUCGAGUUCGGACAGCCACUUGUUGAACUCGACCUGGACUUCGGCCAAAUUCCUUCCUGCCUGAAUGCCUUCGGCCAUCCGAUCGCAUAACUCCUUGGAGUCCUCAUUGUAGCUGGUAUGGUUUUUUAAGGACUCCAAGGCCUCGGUGGAGAGGUGAGCUGCGGCCUCGUCAACGGCCGAUGUGAAGCCAAACAUGAAGUUAGGCGUAAGUAGUUGGCCGAGGUCCUUGAUGAAGGCCUCGGACUUCCGAAAAGCGUCUACGGCCGAGGCUCCGGCACCCUCGAGAGCUUGCUCGUGGGACGCCUUCACCUCGUCCCCCCUCUUCUGCUCCUCUUCGAGGGCCGAUCGGAGACUGUUGAUAGUAGCCGCGGCCUCCUCAUCCUUCACCUCGGCCUCCUUAAGCCGCCUUUCAAGCUCGGCCUUCUCAGACUCGGACACCAACAGUUUUUUCUCCAACUUGGAGAUUUGAUUCUGCAACUUGCCGGUGUCCUGUUCCUCGACCAGAGCACAGUAGCGGUGUGCCAUCUCGGCCACAAAAGCCGAGGUGGAAGCUGUGGACACCAUGAGACUUUGAACCAUCUCGGCCGGGCUCAGCUUCUUCAUGAACUCCAAGUCCCUCGGCAAGGGGGAGUGCAUCACUAGUUCUUGGGCAACCCGAGGAUGCUGGCACCUGUCGUUGACCGAAAUUUUCCAGUCCGGACACCAAUGCCCGCCGGGGUGCGCCUUAUCGUCUCCGGGAAACACUGGGGGGCUAUGGAAACGAUUCCAUAGCGAGGUCCCCGACACCGGAUUAACUGGAGGCUUCAGCUGCUUGCCUCGGCCAGAAGGAGGUGUGACUGUUGUAACAACUCCAAGGGGAACUCCCUCUGGCACAGACGAGGUGGACCCAGUAGCCGCCGUGGCCGAGCUGCUCUGGCCAACCUUGGUGGGAGUGCCUUUAGACGCCGAAGUCUUAGCGGCUGGUCCUUGUGACUUCUUCUUCUUUGGCGGAGGUGCCGAUGUCUCGUCAGUGCUCUUCCUCUUCUGCCUCUUGGCCACUUCGGACGAGCCAGAGACGACGAGGUCGGACAGUUUAGUCACUGCACAAAAAUAAAUAUUAUCAUAUGCCUUAACCGAAGUGAAAGCAAAGCUACGAAAGAAAAAUUACAAGGUAUCUCAAGUUCAGUGGAAAGGAAGGGGGGCUUGGUAGUAUUGAUCACGGCUCGACUUAUCCCCCCAUCCACGAGCACGGCUUCGGGGUAGUCAUGGCUGAACAGCCGAAGUCCCGACUUCAUCAACUUCUGGAAGGAUUCCUCUUCGGCAUCCCCCGCAGAGGGGUCGGCCUUCGCCUUAAUUGGCCUCCACCAAAAACCCCUCGGGAAGUCCACUCCGGACACGAAGAAGUAGUCGCGCUUCCAGUUCUUGAUCGAACUGGGAGCACCGAUCACCAACUUCGGGAUAGCAUUGUUUCGAUUGCCAACAUAAAACCAUCCUUUAUCCGUCCCGUGUGCCUUGAGAGUAUAGUAUCGGCGGAAGAGGUCGACGGAGGGAGUCACCUCCUGAUGUCGGCACAGCAUCUCGAACCCCACAAUGAUGCGGACCGCAUUCGGGGCAAGCUGGGUGAUCCUCACGUGGAAGUGACGAAGUAAGUCCCGGAGGAAUCUCGACGUCGGCAUCCUCAGCCCGGCCUCCAGCUGUUGAACGUAGACAGCCACCAUGCCAAAGGGGGGGUUCGCGGCUGUGUCAUUCGCCUCGGGCGGCAGAAUUUCGUACCCCGACCGGAAAGGGUACCUGUUUAUCACCUUCGUGGCCCUAUCCCUUCCUAUACGACUUCUAAACUUCGGCAUCUGACCGAAGUCGAUGUUGUCCACGUCCUUUGGAGCGACUGGCUCCAGGACACCCUCGUCAUGAGGUAUCUCGGUCCCGAGCUCGGUAUCGUAUUCGACCUCGGAACCACCCUCGCUGAUCUCGGACGACUCCAACUCCAAGCCCGUCACGUCGGCUCUCACCUCGGCUGAUCCUUCCUCAGAACCCUGCGUCGACCCCUCAGAGCUGGACGUCGUCGCUUCUUCCUCAGGAUCCGGCCUCACCUCGGUCUGGUAGCUCGGGGUCACAGUUUCUUUAUGGGUCUUAGCGGUUUUGGCCAUGAGUGAAAGACGAUAUGAAGAGAAAGAAAGAUACUUACUAUUGACUACGAUCUCGGACGAAAACGAUGACUUCGGCUGUGAUCUCGGCUAAUGGAUUGACUUCGGCUACACUCGCGAAUUUUGUAAGUUACAAGCGAAGAAAGAGAGUGAUGGGCCACACGAUGAAAGGGACCCCCUAUUUAUAGGGGAGAGCCAGAACCCGAAGAGGCAGCCCGAAUACGAAAAGGCGGCAACGAUUCGAAUUCAGGAUACCGUGUACCUGCCCCUCUGUCCAUCUCUCCUCAUUAAUGCCCGUCCUUUCGGCUGACACCCUCUGCACGAAACGUCCCACCACUUCACGACGCGACGGUUACCUCUGACCACGUCCUGUCAACUGACUCGACCACGUGUCAAGUCCCCGCAUCUUCCGGAGCAGUCUCAGGACCCCGACUCU